rnacentral:lncRNA from 1 species
AAUAAUCCAAGUAGCCUAUGGUUUCUUGCAUAUCCUUUGAUCUAUGUAUAUAUAUUUGUUGCUAAGAGAACUUAGGACCAACACAAAUCAUUCACACCCUGAAGCAUUCAAAGUUCAUUUUAAAAGUCUUUUCUUAGACCAUUCUCUUCUCCAGUCUCUAACACAAUCAAUAUAGCAAUGGGUUUUCGUUUACCUCUCAUGAGAAGGACAUUAUUUGCUGGAAAUCACACAUCUUCAAAAGCGGUGGAUGUACCAAAGGGCUAUUUUGCAGUCUAUGUUGGAGAGAAAAUGAAGCGGUUUGUGAUUCCUCUAUCAUACUUGAACCAACCUUCUUUCCGAGAAUUGUUGAGUCAAGCUGAAGAGGAGUUUGGAUAUAAUCAUCCCAUGGGUGGCCUUACAAUUCCUUGCAGCGAAGAUGCUUUCCAGCAUAUAACUUCAUGCUUGAAUGGGAUAUAAAUCCCACACUUUAGAAGACUGACAUAGAUUAGGAGAGACAUUUUGUACAGUAGAAUUAACUAUCUGAAUGACAAAUUAAGAGUAUGCUCUGUCUCUUUUCUUGCAUUAUAUCAAUGAAUUGCAUUUUUCAAAUGGCUUCUUCGUGUUUUCUGUCCAUUAGUUAAAAUGUUAAUUUGUCCCUUGAAUAAAAAAUUACAAAUCAUGUGUAAGGCUGCUUGAUCUAGGAAAACACUACAGUUGGCUGAACUAAUAAAUUUCAAAGCUGGAACAGAACAUGCGAUUACUUGUCAGGGAAGUGCAAGAGUAUAUUUCUUAGGAGUUAGGAAGAUAUAGAAAGAUGAUAUACUCAGGGAGAAGUUAAAUUAAUUUUUUAUAGACCAAAAAUAUGUAUCUUUUUUUUUUCUUUCAAGAUUAUACAUAUGAAAUCAAGAUUUUUGAGGAGCAUUGACCCAGAUCAUACAUGAAGUGCCUUCUCUGCCUAGGUAGGUCCACAAGAACAAUGACAUUGGGGUGGUUUUUACAACAACAAAGGCUAAUCCCAGUAGGUGAGAUAAGUUAUAUGAAUCACACAACGCUAUUUAGCUACUUGUGUUAAAGGUCAACUAUAUUUCCACUGCAAUUUUAAAUUUCUCAUGCUAAAUAGUGCAAUAACAUCCAAGUGGAAAUGAAAAAAAAAAUCUCUAGGUGAUUUGAGAAACCAAAAUAUCUAUAUUUACUAGCCUAUAGGAUAUUUGACCAAUCUCUUUAAAGAUUUCCUUGUAUCCAAGUAAGCUCACAAACUUUGGAUUGGUUCUAUCAACUGGAUAAUCAUCUAGUCAGAGUAACUGAGCAAAUCAAUAGAAAUCCAAUUUUAAUUUUGGUAUCUUUUAGUUACAAGUAACAGUCUACACAACAUUUCAAGUCCUGUGUUGUAGGGACUAUACAAUGGAUGCUCCUUUGCACUAUUUUUAUUACGUGGAGGGUGAAACAGAUACACAUAUCCCCACUACAGUAGACAUUUAUUUUACUGCUUUAGUCAUCAGAAAGUGGUAGUUUAUUAACUUGAAGAACCGAAGUAUAUGUUUUGAGACUGUCUGGAUCAUAAGAAGAAGGCCAUUAUAUUGGUUAUGCAAUUAUUUGCUUAUUGGCUGUAAAGUUUCUUUCUGAAGUGCAACCAGGUUGGCAUGGAUUCUCAAUUCUCAAAUAAUCCCUCACCAAAAUCAUGUAGGCAAUAUCAUGUGACACCUCAUUAGCCCUUGUCUCUCACUAGACCCCAUCAAGCAUCAAAUUCCCCACCAACCAUCGAGUUCAUCAGAGAACCGAUUUCACAGACUCGUAUAUCUAUCUAUAUAUACUCACAAUGACAUUCUCAAGCAAUGCAAGUCAGUCACAAAGUAUUCAAACAUUUCUUUCACACACAAGCUCUUGCAUUCUUUGGUAUUGUUCUCUGUGCAAUUCAUCUAAAAAAACAUGGGCUUCCGCUUACCCGGUAUUAGAAGAUCAUCUUUUUCAGUGACCAAAGCAGCUUCCAAGGCUGUGGAGGUCCCCAAAGGCUAUCUAGCAGUCUAUGUCGGAGAGAAAAUGAAGCGGUUUGUGAUUCCUAUUUCAUACUUGAAUCAACCUUUAUUUCAAGAAUUAUUGAGCCAAGCUGAGGAAGAAUUCGGGUAUGACCAUCCAAUGGGUGGUAUCACAAUACCUUGCAGGGAAGAUGCUUUCUUAGACAUCACUUCUCGUUUGAAUAGGCUAUAAAUCAUAUUGGAGGAGACUGACAUAGAAUAGUUGAGGCAAAGUGUACAGAAGACAAUUUUAUUCAUUUAUUAUCCUUCUUUUGUAAGUGGAAAAAACCAUCUAAGUGGGGUAAUUAUUAACAGAAAUGUUAUAUUUCUAUUUUGGUCAAGUUUCAAUGAAUUUUACCUAUACACUUUCUCUGCCAAAUUUUAUUUAUAUUAACAGCCACUGUUAUGUACAUUCUCUUAAACGCACUUUUCUUCUCCCUAUGCUGUUCUGCUGCUACUGUUGUACAGCUAAAGCAAAUGUAAGUUUAUCCUAACAGACCUGUCGUACAAUAGUGCAUGAUCCAUGCCCUUGAGCUUUUUCUUACAAUAAAUUUGUGAUAAUGUUGUCCUUUUAGAGGAGGGAGUUGUAGUGAGAUGAAUCGGAGUUAAAAACUUGAAAAAUAAAUUUGACAGUGUAAAAUAUGCACAUACAUAUUUGAGGUGGUGUGGUAACAAUAAAUCCAAUUUGUGUGGAUAGAUACAUCCAGAUGCUGUUUUGCUAUACUAUGUUGUGGAUGGAAAACCUAAACUUAAAUGGAUAACUAUUUAUUAGAUAUAACAAGGGCUAAUGAUUUAUUAAUUCAAUGAUCUUGUGUUUGAACUAAAUUGAUCAGCCUGAAUUCACACAUUUACCUCACAACAACAAAUUACUUGUACAAUUAACUAAACACAGGAGUACAAUUAGCAUCCCAAGACAUAAUAACUAAUAAAUAUGCACCCCCUAGGCAUAAUAACUAUAAAAAUAUGAUGAUAUCUUAAAAGUUUGAGUUGGUAGUACUUAGGGUGACUGAAUGGUCAACCCGGCCUGUUUUGGCCCAAUCGUCAUUGACUAACUAAAAGUAGGGCGGAUUGACUCUUAAGGUUAUACGGACUAAAAUUAGUAACUCGUCCCGCUAGAGGUGGAUUGACGGGUUGACAUGCUGAACCGCCACUUUUUUAUUUUUAUUUUUUUUAAUUAUUUUGUUUUAAAUCUAUUUACUUGGUUGUAGUUAUUGAUGUCACUUUUUUGGACAAUAAAAAUGUAAGGAAGAGUAAUAAAAUUGAAUCAAACUUUAAUAUUAUAAUAAAAGAAGGUUUAAUGCCUAACAAAAUAAAGUAACUAUUAUCAAUACUUUAAUGAAUAAAAUGGUGUAUAAAAAAUUAAUAUAAAUAAAGUUUUAUAUAAAACAUUGACUACCACCAAUAUUAAUUUUAAAAGCAUGAAAUUUCUCUUUAAAAGUGCCAAAGAUAAAGAAGCCCCGCCUGUUUUUUUUUUAUCAACAAUAAACAAAUAUAUAUAAAUGGACCACUUCAAGAAUGAUCCAACCCAUUUACAUAGAAACAAGGACACCCUAACAACAUAACCCCUUCCACUGCUAAAAAAACUAACCCUCACAUAGAACAAACUCCAACACCAAACUAAAGCCAAUAAAGACAGAUUAGAGGAUCAAGACACCAGUCAGAAAAAGAAAAACAAGUCGGGGAUAUUUAGAAGAGAACCAAGACUAAACCUUCAAUUGAGCAAAAUAGAAGAUAUCAGAAUAAUAAAAAACCUCACCUUUAAAAAUAAUUUUAUUCCUAUGACUCUAAAUCUCACUAACCACCGCAAUCCAAAUAUUCUCCAUCCCUAAUAAGAUCGACUCCACAACAUUACACAACCUGAACUACAGAAAAUGGGAGUGAACAUGAAUGGGGACAACCAACGAAAUGCCUAACUAUGUAAAUUGACCUUAGUAACAAUCUUAUUUUCCAACACCCUUCAAGCGGUAACAUGAACUGAGGGCAAAACCUUAAUCCUCCAAAACAAAAUUAAACAUCCUCGAUGAAUUUCUUCCUGUACCCCAUCAUUUUCGAAAAAAGACUGUUUUACCCCUUUUAAAAAUGACUUCCGAAUUGUUCUUUCCAGGAUAUUUCCGGAACAUAUUUUUCAGAACAUAUUUUAUUAAUUUUGGAUUUACCAAUCUGGAAAUCAAAAAAAUGUGUUCCAGAAAGGAUAUUUUGGAAUGAUUUUUUGUCUUCCAGAUUUUCAAUUCUAGAAAGACCCUUUGCUUAUGAAAUUCCUGAAACACUUUUUCUUAAGAAACUCUUAUUCUGAAAUCAUCCAAAAUUGUGAAAGGAUAAUUUUAUUAUUUCAAAGAAUAUAGGGGUACAAGAAGAAAAAUGUAAAGAUGCAGUAAGAAACUAUCAACUUAUUGACUUUUCAAACCCAUCUAUACGGGUUCACAAGUUCAAAAAAAAUUAACUUGCCUUAAUAAAUGAUGGCGGCCCACCGAACCAGUUUUGUCAUCCCCUAGUACUAAUGUUAGUUAAGGUAUCAUCACUUAAAUAAGUUUACUUGGUUUUUGAAAAAUUAUAUGCUAUCCAUAAAAAUUUAAGAAAUUUUGUAAAUGAAUUUCCAUUUAAUGAUGCAAUGUGAUACCGUUCAUUCUUGACAGAGAAGUUUUACUCAUUGAAGUUAAGCUCCUAAUAAUUUUUUUUCUAUUUAAAUUUAAAAUCUGUCUAUUGCUUUAAAAUAUAUUAUAAAUGCUUGACCAGAAAAAGUACUAUAUUUUAAAAAUCUGUUCAAAUAUAGUUUUCAACCUUAAUUGUCUUAAUUGCAGUUUGGUCGAAACUCCCGUACACUAUCUUACCCCGAACAAUUACAUUGAUAUUAAAAUAAAAAUAAUGUAACAAUAAACGUGUGCAAACAAUAACAUGUUUAUGUUUAGGAUCACAAAUCAUGAACCUCACUAGCAAAUGACAUCAGAAAGCAGCAACAACCCUGAAGAAGACAACGGAGCUGGGGAAUAGAUUAUUCAUUAAUAAACCCUAAAAGUGAAUUCACACAAAUAUAUGUACAGUUAAAUUAUACUAAACCCUAAAAUCGAAUUCAUUCAAAUAUUCCCCAAAAAAGAUAAACUGAGCUUGGUGGAUGAAUAUGAAACCCAGAAAGUGCAAGCUAAUGGUAACAGAGUAUGCAACGACAAAUAAAUGCUUUAAACACAGCGAGUGUGCAUAUGUUUCAAUUCCUCAACAUAAUCAAUGGAAAUAAUAAUUUUGUUCCUAAACACAUCUUCCACUUUUGCAUGAAAGCAAAGGGAAAAAAAUAGAAUCUCUACAAAAUUGUUUGUUUGAACUAAAUACAUCAUGUGUGUCGGUGUCUGAGAAGUCUUCAAGUGAGAACCGACAUGAUAUUUAAGAAGACAUCUUCUCUGCAAGGAAUUGUAAGGCCACCCAUUGGAUGAUGAUACCCAUAUUCUUCUUCUGCUUUGCUUAGCAAGUCUUGGAAUGAGGGUUGGUUCAAGCAUCCGAUCGGAAUUACGAACCUCUUCUUCUUCUCUCCGACAUACACUGCAAGAUAUCCUUUUGGGACUUCGGCACCCUUUGAAACUGCUUGUCUAGUUCUUCUAGCACCAAGCAAACCAAAACCCAUGUUUUCUACUGGAUUGUUAUAGAAUGAUCUCCAAGACUAAUAUGCUAAUCAAGUGUUUCAAGUUCGAUGCUUUAUGACAUAUUUGAGAGUGGAAUGAUGGGUAUAUAUAUGGCGUUUGUGUGGAUCACCUUGCUUCUCAAAUUGAAUGGUUUAAAGGGUAUUUGGGUUUGGUGAGAAACAAGGGAUCAUGAACCAUGUGGUUUUGUCUUGCACGUCUUUGUCAAAAAAGAAGAUUUUUUUAGAAGAGUGGUCAAUAAAGUUGCUUGAAGUUGAAAGAGAAUUGUACAGCAAAGAACCUAAUUAUUGUUCAAACCAUUUAAUGCCCUGUUUCUUGUUGUUGAAGACAUGUACCAGACAUUACUCCUCUUCUCUUCCUCACACGUAUGUUUCAUUGUUGACAAAUAUCUGUGCAGGCUAUUGGAAACUUAUACUCAGUGGUUGCACUUGUACAAUGCCAUUCAUCAUGAUAACAGCUUGCAUGACAAGUCCUUGCCAACCGCACGGAAGGUACUUGAGAUUUAACUCUCCAUCAGGACCUCACAGUUUACUACGGAACAAGUACAAAGCAACAUACAAUUUAAUUAGAGACUGAGACAUUGUUUGUUGCAUUGGUAUAUUCCUUUUAUGACAUUGUAGUGUAUUUGGAUAAAGUAUUGGAAUAAUGGAAUAUACCUUCAGUUUCACUCCAGCAACUUCCAGUAACCUUCAGGGUUAGAAAAUCAUUAUUAUUAACUUUUACUUUUACCCCUAACAUUACAUACUGCCACAUGCCUUCUUAAGAUGGAUUUUUUAUUCCAUGUUUAGUUCAGUUUAAAAGUAAAACUGAAAACACGAGAUUACAAAGACUUUUGAUAAAAGGGUGAAGCCUAAAGCUAAGAAAUUAUGACAUUUCUACAUUCUGUCGCCAACUUCUAUUAAGCCAUUUGUCUUGGCUUUCACUGAAUCUUAAACCAAUCAACUCUUUCUUUUCAAAUUCUAUCAUCUUUCAAUGAAAAUGAAAAUGGAAAUCUCUAUAGGUGUUAUGUCAAAUUGCCAGUUGGAAUAAAUGUUUUGGCACAAUGGGUCAUGACAGAAGACAGACACUUAGCUUAAUUUAGAUUUGACAUGUACUUAUACAGCUCAUAGAUUGCGAAUCACCAUAAUUACAUUGCUUAUGUGACACUGUUGAACGACAUAUUUUACUAAUCCAGUAACAUACGUUUAUUCGUUUGAAAGUAAUCCAGUAACAGAUGUCAGGUUUUUAUUUUUUAAAAUGUGUUAUUUCUUGUAUCGUUUUGCUUAAUUCUACAAGGAUCACAAAAGGAAUAAGUGAAUAAAAAUGAAGCAUGCAUGCCGAGGAAAGAACAUAACGAUCUAGUAUCAUUUUAAAAAGAUAAAAGGAAAUACAUGAAUGUUACAUUAAAUAUACAUCAUGAAAAAAAUAAAAAUGUACAAUAUUAUUUUUCUAUAGAGGCUUGGUAGAUGACUCUAAUUUGUGAUGGAGUUCAGAGAUUGCAGCAAACUCUGUAAAAUUAAUCACUUUAUUUGCAGUCUUCUUUUCUUUUGUGUCUAGAACUGGGGUCAACAUUUUGGGAUCCAUGUCCAAGGUUAUCGACAGAACUGCAAUAUUACAUUCAAAACAGCCAAAAUCAGGUUUAGCAAACUAAUUUAUAUUUCCUAUAGACCAGUUAAGGGAGGCAGAUGCUAGAUGGUCGUCAAGUUUGUGCUGUAUGGUAUUUUAAUUCAUUCAUGUAUACAAAAAGUAAGAACAGUACAAAUUCAGAAUAAAUCUUUAGUAUGUUUUCAUGUAAGUGUCAUGAAUUAUUUUACAACAUCUAGGAUAAUACAAAAAAUGAAAAAAAGAAAUGCCUGCUCUACAAUGUUUGUCUCAACCAAGCACUCUAUAUGUUACUCUCCUCUAAAGAGCAAUAUGGGCUAUAGCACAUUCAAGCGAGAAGCUAUAUCUAAGAACACAUCUUCCUUGCAGGGAAUUGUGAGACCUCCCAUAGGAUGAUCAUAGCCGAACUCAUCUUCAGCUUGUUUUAACAAUUCUUGAAAUAAAGGCUGGUUCAAGAAUGAUAUGGGAAUCAUGAACCUCUUCAUUUUUUCUCCAACAUAAACUGCAAGAUAGCCUUUUGGGACUUCAACAACCUUUCUAGCUGCUUGGCUUGUAAAUGAUGUCCGUCUUCCAAGUAAGCGAAAACCCAUUGUUUUUGCUUCUACACCCAAAGAACUACAAUGUGAUCUCAGAGGACUAGUUAAAGUUUGCACUAAAUUUGAGUUCUUCCGAUUCAGUGUAAGAAUGACUUGUGAAGCUUGUAUGCACAAUGACAGAUACACAAGCAUAUAUAGAUAGAUAACUCAAGCCUUUCUCUCCUGAAUUUGGAGGUGAAUGUACUAUUUGAUAGGGCCAAGUAAGAGACAGGGCUCAUUAAGGUUGACGUGAUAUGUCUUGGAUAGUCUACCAUCAGAUUUUACUUGAGAUCUAAUAAAUUCUGCCUAUGCUAAAGUCCUUGGAUAGGUUACCAUCAGACAUGUUCUAGACAUAUUAAAGAUUGUGUUCAUGGUUUCUAUAAGCCAACUGGCAGAUAUUGAUACACUAUAAACCCUAAAAUCUAUUUGAGUUAUUAAAUAACAUUAUUUGAAGACAAGAGAUGUACUGCUUUUGAUGAUUUUACUCUGGAAAAUGCUACAAGUACCUUGAGUACCUGGCUUAUGGCCGUACAAAUGAGUCAUCCACCUUGUUAUGUUGCUCAAUAGAUAGUUACAUGACAGAGUUGUGUGGAAGUAAGGGUAGUUAGUUAUAAAUAGCCCAGUGUCAUAAAAAUAUAAUAUAUAAGUUUGUUGAUUUACUUAAUUCUCUGAAGUCUAACCAGAUAAAAAUGCAGUUGAUAAAUCCAAACUCAAGUUUGUGAACUUUUCUGAGGUCUUAAAAUAUGAGAACAUUGGAAACCUAUUGAGCAUAACAAGGUAUAAUCCCUUAUUAGGCUAACAAAUAUUCCAUUCCUGGGUUCUUUAAAGCACUGAUUUGUUCUUAAAUUUCCUUUUUAUUUUAAUAUUUUUCACUUUAGCCUCUGAGCUUGCUAUGAUGAGUAAAUUUACAAAGCAACUGCAAUUUGCCUUCAGCUGCACAACAUAUAAGCUCUGAAAUCUGAUAAAUGCUGCACUGAUCAAAUUUUGGUAAUUAUAGUGCUUGAUUUAUGGCUAAAUCUUUCAGUGAAGGAAUAAGAGAAGCUAGCUACAGGUGUAUGUAAACUAAACCACAAGUCUAACGAAUAUGAAAUUUGGUUAACUACAGAAGUUAUAUAUCCAUAGAAAUAGAUGGUAACAAUUAGGUUGAAAAAACCUAUAUACUAGGUCCACUAUUAUCUGUUUUGCUUGGUAGUUUGGUAGUGGUGAAAUCUUGUUUACGAUGGGGGCAAUUAAUUUUAACUUUACAUGAGGGCAUAAAAAUUAAAAAUCUUUAUAUCCAGUCCUAAAUAAACUGAUGCUUUUCUCUUUGGCUGAAGCAAAAUUCUAUUAGCUCUGCUAAGACUGCGAGGCACGUGGGUGGUUUUGGUGUGGAAUUCAUGCUAAAAAUCAAGUGCUAAUUGAAUUGCAGAAAGAACUGGACAUUGUAAUUGAUAAACAAGAGUACUCUGUAAUUGAAUUCAUUGUCACAACAAAAAAUGGGGCAAUCUUUACAAUUUGAGAAGAUGCCUCUUGUACAAAAUGUUUCUACUAAUCUGUCAGUGUCCUACAGUAUGAGAGUUAUUGUCUAUUCAAGCGAGAAGCUAUAUGUUGGAAGACAUCUUCACUGCAAGGAAUUGUGAGGCCGCCCAUGGGAUGAUCAUAUCCAAACUCUUCCUCUGCUUGACUCAAUAAGUCUUGAAAUGAAGGUUGGUUCAAAUAUGAUAUAGGAAUCACAAACCGUGUCUGUUUCACUCCAACAUACACAGCAAGAUAGCCCUUUGGGACUUCUACAGGUUUUGAGGUUGCCUGCAUAGCUGUGACUGAUGGCCGUCGAAUACCUGGUAAACGGAAACCCAUUUUUUCUUCCUGUUUGAAUGAAGAAGAUCAAUACCAAAUUUACUGUGAAUGAAACCCAAAUGUUGAAACUUGAGGAUGCCAAUGGCUUGUGUUGUUUGUGAAGGGAAAUGAUAUAGUAUAUAUAGUUCUAAAGAUUCCCUAGAAACUAAAAUCACAGAAAAGGACUGUUAAAGGAUGGAGAACAUACCCAUGAGAUAUCAUGUGGUGCUGUCUUUAAUGUCUCUGUCAAGGAUAAAGUUGUGUAGAGUGUGUAACCCCACCACACCUUAUCAAACAGUGGCAAACAUAAAACCUCCACCUCCCACUUCUAACCAAAUGAGACGUGCCUAAGUGAAACCAAACGUUUAUUAACAAAUCAAUUGGUAUUCCAUAAUUUCGUAAGUAUGCUUUGGAGAUGUUUUCUUAAGGUUGAUAAUGCAGCCUAAUGUUGAAGUAAGUAAUUUCUGGCUGAUGAGUUAUAAGGGUAAGGAUUGUGAUAGAUCAUAGACAUAUGUUUGAUAUCACACGUCUGUUUUAUUUUAAGUGGAUUUGCUUCAGAACGUGGGACCCCUUUGAUCAACUAUAACAUGUUGCAUUAAGUCCUCCAAGGCAACGCAAUAUGCCAUGUCUCCUUGUUGGUUCCCUAAUUCUUAUCUCAUAGACCUCCACCUUCAAUAAUACACAAGGACAACAAUUUCUCACAAAUUCUUUCAUCUAUAUAUAUUCAAGACCGUAAGCAUUUAGAACGACAAAAAAUCAUUCAUAUCAGAGAGCAUUUGAAGUUCACCAUCUUGUAUCUUUUUACGAGAUUUAUUCUCAACAUUCUAUUCCCAAGUCUCAGCAGCACACACAACAAUGGGUUUUCGUUUACCUGGUAUCAGAAAAACAUCAUUUGCAGCAAACCAAGUUUCUUCAAAAGUUGCAGAUGUGCCAAAGGGCUACCUUGCAGUGUAUAUUGGAGAGAAGAGGAAGCGGUUCAUGAUCCCCGUAUCGUACUUGAACCAACCUUCAUUUCAAGAUUUGUUGAGUCAAGCUGAGAAAGAAUUUGGUUAUGAUCAUCCAAUGGGUGGGCUCACAAUUCCUUGUAGAGAAGACGUGUUCCUAGAUACUAUUUCAAGCUUGAAUAGGUGUUAGCCCCUUGAAGAUGAAGUCGACAUAGAUGUAGACUAAACUUCACCGAUUUUUUGUAGCAUAGUUUCUUACCUUGAAAAUAUUCUCCUCAAUUUUGUUAUCAUACUCUGGCAAGUGUAAAAAAAUGUUAAUUUAAAUGAGAAGUUUCCUAUGUGAGAAGUUGUGGUUUUCUUACAAAGUGUUUAUAUAGAUAAACUAAGCAAUUUAUCAAAUGAAUAUGAAAUCUCUUCAGCCAUGGAUGCUAUCUAUUGAAACUAAAAUGGGAACAAUGGACCACCAUAUUAAAUCCACUGUGACCACCUUGGCAAUUUGGUGGAAUCUUGUGUACGACCGGGACCCUGAAUUUUAAUUUUACAAGUAUGAUAUAUAAGAGUUAAAAAUAUUUUCAGACCCUUCCCAAAUAAAUUGAAGCUCCUCUGUUGCCCUUGGAAAUUGUAAACCCUUGCUACUCUGGAUAUUAUUUAUAUUUAAAUAUAACUUCUGAACGGGUUUCCAUUUCUUGGUCUUGAAUGCAUAGUUUAAUAUCUGUUGAGUAGAUGUGAACACUUUCAGUAGGUCUACAAAAGCAACUCUUGAGGUUCAUUUUAUAUAGAGUGAAUUUGUUGUGAUUGUGAAACAUUCUCUUUUAGAUAAUAUACAAUACCUUCUCUUUUCCAAUUUUGUCUCAUAAGUACUCAACCAAAAUUUAUUUUGCUUUACUCUGAUAAUCUCCUUCAUUGUUAACAAUUUAAUAUAUAUAUAUAUAUAUAUAUAUAUAUAUUUUAACUAUUGCAUGAUACAGAUUAGCAUCCUUGUCCAAAGUAUUUCUGAAGGUCCAGAGUUUCGGUUGCUAUGUUGAUGAACAUAUAUUUUUUGACACACAAUAGCCUUAAUCAUAGAUUAUUGGACUAUAAUAUUAAAUAAAUCGAUUGUUUUAAUUAAUAUUCUUAUAAUUGGGUUUAUUUGGGCCUUAACUAUUAUUUUUGUUAAUUUUGUGUUUUUAGAGUAAAUUAUCCGGAGGAAGCAUCUAAUGGGCCAAAUAUGCAAAAGUCCAAGUUGCUUCUUGAACCAAAACAAUAAACACAAAUUCUGAGGAGGAGGAAGAGAAAAUAAAAUCUACAAUGUAUCAAACAGAAUUGGAAGCAAAUCUUCUGCAAAAUACAAUAAUUCUCGAAAGUUGGAAAGUUGGAAACGGUUAACAUAAUAUAAACCACAAUAUUUUCCCAAGAUCUUUGGAGCAGAAAAGCCAUAAAAAGGACACAAACAUCAAGGAGAAAAUGAGAGAGCUUCAUAGGGUUUUCUUAGUUUACUUUCUUCUUUGUAACUAUUUUGUUUUGCCUCCGCAUGGAAGGCUAAACCUUUUUGGUUGAUUCUUUUGUAAUUCCCCAUUGAGUUCUGAGGUUUUGUUUAAUAAAAGUUUCGAUUUUUAAUUCUCUAUAGCAGUUGUUUUAAUAGUCUAAUCUCUUGGAAAAUUGGUUUUUGUGAGAGGUUGUACUUAAACGCAUGAUUGAGAGUCUUCCUUAUCUUAAACUUUGGUUUCUUAGCAUUGUUUUAAUUAAUUUCAAGAGGAGGUAAGCAUUCCCAUGGAGUAUAUGCAUGGAACAAAGUGGGUAUUGAUUAAACCAGUAGACGCAUGUUUUACUGGUGAGUUGUUUCAGUUGAAUUAUAUUGACGCAUGUUCAAUCUGGUUUAACUCUGUUGGAGGAUUAAGAAAAGAUUAACCUUUAGAGAACCUGUGAAGAAUUCAAUGGUGGAAGAACUUGGGAUCAACGGCUUUUUAUUUGUUAUUUUAAUCUUUUUUAUAUUUUUCUACACAACUAUCUAAACCCCUUUUUUUAUUAUUAUUGUUAUUGCUAACUUUUAUUGCUUGCAUAUAGAUUCUAAACACUGAUCUACUGAUUUUAAUAUUGGAUUCGCCAGAAUCAUAUUAAUUUGACAGCAAAACGACAACUAGCACAUGUCAAUCAACAAAAAGAAGAAACAUGUGAUAAAGUGAUCGGUAAUCCAGAAAGAUACUAUGGAUUAAUCAAAAUAAAGUAUGAUGAUGGUAACAAUAGCUGUAUGACAGCUAAAAGAAACGACUUCAAAUAUUGAUAGUUGUAUAUGUACAUUAGCUGUUUGGUAUGUAAGAGUUUCUAUUUCAAAUCAAUUAAUGGCUGUAGACGACAAAGUCUCAAGUUAAAACCAAUGCAAUUCUUUGUCAUAACAACUUCAACCACUCGUGAGCUGUGAUGAAAUACGGAAAGUACAAUGCCAAAUAUAAUUUAAUUGGAGAUUGUAACAUUGUUGAAUAGUGAGAUCAAGUAAUGGUGGAGCUCAUAGAUGGGGAGAAUCAGCAUAGAUGCAAUUCACGUGUGACACAGUGAAUGAUAUAACUCAAUUCUGAUAAAUUUCAUUACUACCCAAGGCAUGGAGAAGUCCACCAUUACCUAUUCACAGACAGCGUAUGUUGUGUAUGAUUGAGACCAUGAAUUUUAAUUUUGGGAGUAUAGAACUUAAAAUCUUUCAAGUUCUGUCCCAAAUAAAUUGAUGUUUCUCUUGGCUGUGGCAAAAUACUAUUAUAGGACUGCCCAGAAUGUGAAGCAGAUGAGUGUCGACAUGCCGUGGAUUAAAAAGAACAAUGAACUUUUUUUUUCAGGCAAAUAAUUCUGUUCACAGUUCUAAUUUCAGGGAGAAGUUAACUUUGUAAUUGAUUCACAGAAGUACUUUGCAACUGAUUUUGUUGUCAUUACUCAAAACUGGCUGAUAAAAGUUACAUGUUAGAGAAUUUGCCUAUUGUACAAAAUGCCUCUACAAAUCUAUGUCAGUCUCCAAAAGUGUAAGAUUUAUUGCCCCUUCAAGCAAGAAGUUGUAUGUUGGAAGACAUCUUCAUUGCAAGGAAUUGUGAGGCCACCCAUGGGAUGAUCAUAUCCAAACUCUUCCUCGGCUUGACUCAAUAAAUCUUGGAAGGAAGGUUGGUUCAAAUAAGAAAUUGGAAUCACAAACCGCUUCUGUUUCUCUCCAACAUACACUGCAAGAUAUCCCUUCGGGACUUCUACAGAAUUUGAAGCUGCUUGCCUAGCUGUGGAUGAUGCCGGUCGAAUAGCAAGUAAACGGAAACCCAUUUUUGUGCUUUUUAUGAGAAGAAAGAAGAACAAUAUGAGAUUUGGAAAGAAUGGAGCAAAAAAUUGAUACUUGAGAAUGCUAUAAAGAUAAUGUAUAUAUAGUUUUAAAGACUCCCUAGAAACUGAAUUUGAAGGAAAAAACUGUUAAAAGAUGGAUGGCAUACACAUGAGAUACCAUGUGGUUCUGUCUUCAAUGCCUCUAUUAAGGAUAAAGUUGUGUAGACAUGGGUAACCCCACCACCUUAUCAAACAAAUGAGACGUGCCUAAGUGAUAUUAAACGUUUAUUCAUGCAUUAAUUGGUAUUUCAUAAGUAAACAUGUUUGGGACAUGUUCUCUUCAGGUUGAUAAUGCAGCCUAAUGUUGAAGUACACUAUAGAUGGAAAGAGAUCUACGGAUAGCAAGAGAUCUUAGACCAUUAUGUUUUAGAAGUUUAGAUCAGAUAUCAGUUUUAUUUGAAGUUGAUUCCCUUCUGAAAGUGGGACCCGUACUAUCCACUAUAACGUGUCACAUUCAUCCUUGAGAAAGUCCUACAAGGCAACACCAUAUGCCACUGUCUCACUGUUGGUCCCGUGAAUCAUAUCUUAUUGCUCUUUCCCUCAAUUAUUUAUGUGGACAACAAUUACACACAAUUCUUUCAUCUCUAUAUAUAUCUUCAACUCCACAAACCUUUAGCACAACAAAAUCAUUCACUUCCCAAAGCUUUUGAAGUUCAUAAACUUGCAUCUUACAGAAUCAUUUUUCAUAACUUUUUUUCCGAAGUCUCAACACAUACAACAAUGGGGUUUCGUUUACCUGGUAUGAGAAAGACAUCAUUUGCUACAAACCAAACAUCUUCGAAGGGCUUGGAUGUGGCAAAGGGCUACCUUGCCGUCUAUGUAGGAGAGAGACUGAAGCGGUUUGUAAUCCCUGUAUCAUUCUUGAACCAACCUUUAUUUCAAGACUUGUUGAGUCAAGUGGUGGAAGAAUUUGGAUAUGAUCACCCAAUGGGUGGUCUCACAAUUCCUUGUGGAGAAGAUGUGUUCUUGGAUAUCACUUCUCGCUUGAUGAGGUGCUAAUCCAUGAAGAUGAGACUAGUGUAAAUGUAUAGACACAAUUUUUGUAACAUAGUUUCUUACCUUGGAAAAGAUUCUGUCCAUUUUUAUUAUCUUUCUUGAGACAGUAUACAAAUUUUAUGAGAAAUUUCCUACAUGAAGAGUUUUCUCACAUAUUUUCUUCAUCUAUCAUUCUGGUCUGCAUAUUUCUCGAAUAAGAAAUUAGCUAGUUGUCGCUAACCAAAUAAUUCUUAAUGUACCAGAUUUAAAUUCAGCUAUUAUCUCUAAAUUUAUAACUAAGUUCAAUAAAAAAAAACUAUAUUAGGAGAAAGGAAAAGAAGAUAAGUUUCAAACAAAAUGACAGAUCCAAUGGAGAAACAAAGAGAAAAAGUCAUUGAAAUAAUUAGUAUUUGUCAACCUAUUACGUAUAACCUAUUACGUAUGAGGGAGGACCCAAUUCUUUACGAUAAGCAAUUCUUCUGAUGUAGUUAAUUCUUUGUCCUGUAACAUCUUCAUAUAUGUGAGUCAAGCAGCAACACAUUCUUGGCAUGAUUUAUGUUAGUUGGUUUUACGGCAUAACCUGGUAGUGACAAGUUCUCCAUUAAUUAUUCUUCAAACCUUGAACUAUUUUAAGAUAUUACAAUCUUUUUUUUGGAUGAAAAUAGAAAUUAAGCAUCUUAAUCCUGGAAUGGGGAUUGUUGCCCUAGUUUGAAAUUUGGGAUCUCAAAAUGAUGCAAGGACAAGCAAUUGCCCUGCUUUUUUGUUGGGUAUAAUUGUGAAAUGAAAAUGGAAUAAAAAGUGAGGUUUUGCCCCAAUGAAAAUUUAAGGGGGUGGAACCACAUGGUGAUGGAUGAGAUGAAGUAAUUUCUCCCUGUUUUCUUUCUUCUGUAAUGUUUGUUUAACAAUUAAAACAACCAAAAUAGAUAAUCUCAUCCUCUUAUAAAAUGGAAAUUAUGCUCAGAAUCUAUAUAUAAAUAAACAAAACCUUCAAUCAAAUGCAUAUGAAAUUUCUAUAACAAGGGAUAUUAUCCAUCAAAUUGAAAAACAGCAAAACUUAUUUUUUCAAGUCCAUUAUAACUGUCUUGGCAGGUGCAAAAUCUCAUGAACGGGACCAUCAGUUUUGAUUUUAAAUGUGUAUAAAAUACUUAUAAACCUUUCAAACACGUUCUAAAGAAAUUGAUGCUUCUCCUCGGCCCUAGCAAAAUACUAAUAUCUCUGCCCCCUCUCUGCCUUGUCUUCAUUGUGAAGCACUACUUCGUUUUAUAAUGAAAUUUACCAGAAUAAUCGAGUUCUUUUAGUGUUGCAACCAUUCUAAUUGUUCGGAGAAGUAAAACUUGAAAUGGAUAAAUAGAUAGAAAAUUAGAAUUUGAAUUCAUCACCAAUACUCAAAAUUUGGUAAUAAUAGUUACAAGUUCAAGAAGAUGUCUAUUGUACAAAAUGUCUCUAACAAUCUAUGUCAGUCUUCUAAAGUGAGAUCUAUUGUCUCUUGAAGCAAGAAAUUGUAUGUUGGAAGACAUCUUCGCUGCAAGGAAUUGUGAGGCCACCCAUGGGAUGAUCAUAUCCAAACUCUUCCUCAGCCUGACUCAGUAAGUCCUGGAACGAAGGUUGGCUCAAGUAUGAGAUGGGAAUCACAAACCGAUUUUGUUUCUCUCCAACAUACACGGCAAAAUAGCCCUUUGGUAUGUCUUCAGAUUUUGAAGUUGCUUGUCUUGCUGUCAAUGAUGCCCGUCGGAUGGCUGGUAAACGGAAACCCAUUUUUUGAGCUUGUUUGAAGGAAGAAGAACAAUCUCAAAUAUACAGAUAGUGAACCCAAAUUUGAUGGUUGAGGAUUCCAAAGGCUUGUGUUGUUUUUGAAGGUAUAGGAUAGUGUAUAUAUAGCUGUUAAAAGAAGGACGGCAUUCAGAUGAGAUAUCGCGUGGUGUUGUCUUCAGUACUUCUAUGAAACAUAAAGAAGAGUACAGGUGUGUAACCCCACCUUGUUCAACAACAGGCAACAUUAAGCCUCCACAUGCACCAAAUGAGACGUGGCUAAGUGAAGGCCUAAGUCUCUUCAUGCAUUAAUUGGUAUUACAUAUUAUGUCAAACAUGCUUUGGACAUGUUUUCUUCACAUCACCUAAUGUUGAAGAACAGCUGGAUAGAUGAAAUUAUAAGCCAAUGGACAGCGAGAGAUGAUAGACCAUUAUAUACAUGAGACUUGAAAUCAUACGUCUAAUCUAUUUCAAGUGGAUUGACUUGGGAUAGUGUACUAUCGACUGUAACAUCACCCAUUACUCCCAAAGAAACACUUCCAAGACAACACCAUAUGCUCUAUCGGUCCCAUGAUUCUUAUCUCAUAACCCUUCCACCCUCAAUCAUUCAAGUAGCCGACGAUUUCCUACAGCCUUUUUCAUCUAUAUAUAUUCACGGCUGCAAGCAUUUAGGGCAACAAAAAUCAUUCACAUCCUAAAGCAUUUUAACUUCAAAAACUAGCUUCUUCCUUACAACUCUCUUUUCUCUACUUUCUCUUCCCAAGUAUCAGCAACAUAUAAAACAUGGGUUUUCGUUUACCUGGUAUCAGAAAGGCCUCCCUUCCUUCAAUCCAAGCAUUUUCAAAAGCUGUGGACGUGCCAAAGGGUUACAUUGCAGUCUAUGUCGGAGAUAAAAUGAAGCGGUUCAUGAUCCCUGUAUCUUACGUGAACCAACCUUCAUUUCAAAAUUUGUUGAGUAAAGCUGAGGAAGAAUUUGGGUAUGAUCAUCCACUGGGUGGUCUCACAAUUCCUUGUGGAGAAGAUGUGUUCUUAGAUAUCACUUCUCGCUUCAAUAGAUGUUAAGUGCAUGAAGAUGGAACUGACUUAGAUGUAGACUAUAUACUUGACACAAUUUUGUAUUGUAGUGUCCUACCUUGAAAAUAUUCUUUCUCUCCUCUUUGAUAUCUCACUUUGUAAAAGAAAUUUCAUUUGAAAUAGAAGUUUGGGAACACUUACAGUUUUCUCAUUUUCUCCUCUCUUAUAUAUAUAUAUAUAUAUAUAUAAUCCAAUGCUAAUAAGCUGAAAUGUUCCGUUCAGAAUCAUCGUGUAGCAGCACCAUACAUGACAACUAUUCACCCAUAUGACGAUGCCUGAUUUAGUUAUGAUUAACGAAAUUUGAUCACCUCUGUUUCAAGCAGCAGCCCCUUCUUCACAUGGGCUAUUCAACAUAUUAUAGUUGGUUUUAGGACCAGAAUAUAAGAUAAGUUUGAUUGAAAUACAUUGAUAGUGUUUUUUAAAGAUUAUUUAAUCAUAGAUUGACACAUAAUUGAAAAUAUAUUAAAAUCCAUGCAUUUUGUUGCCAAUGUAGUCUGCUACACAACUCUCCGAAACACAGGUGCUAUCCAAAGAGCACAAACCUCCACCAGACACUCAUAAAUGUGUGAGCUGAAGGCAAAGCCUAAAUCUUCCAAAAAGUUGUUAUACAAACUCGAGGAAUCCCCCUCUACCGAACCCUUUAAAAAACCAUUCACAGAGUUAACUGAAUAAUCUGUGUUACCUCCAUCCUUCCAGACCCAUUUAUCCUCGAUAUCAAGAAAGGGACUCGAAAAUUGCACAACCCCCAGAAGCUGACUAACCUGUUCCAUUUCCCAAGCAAAAAGACCUCUUCUCCAAGCCAAGUCUCACACCCAAACAUUAUUAACCCAAUCCCCACAAAGAGAAAGCUUAGCGUCUUUGAUCAUUGACAAUGAAAAAAAGCCUUAGGAAAGAUCUUUUCAAGCUGCCAGGACCCAACCAACUAUCUUCCCAAAAAGGUAACUCCUUCCCGUUUGCAAGCUUCCACCUAAAACGAUUUUCAAAGGACAUUCUCCAAACUUCCUACUUCCAGACCGCUUUCAAAUCUCUCCACCAGAGUGACUCAUAAUUGCAAAGUCGUUGCUCUUUGAGGUUUCCCCACCCACCAUAUUUAGACUCUAGAAUGUCCUUCCAGAGUCUUCCCUUAAUCUGACUCGGACGCCAUAUACAUUUUCCCAGUAAGGCCAAAUUAAAGAGCCUAAUAUUAAGGAUGCGAAGACCGCCUGCUUCCUGAGACUCACACACCUUGUCCCAAGACGCUCAGUCAAUUUUCCUCCCCUCGGAUCCCUAGUCCCACAAAAAGUUCCUUUGUAGCUUCACAAUCUUCUUCACAACAGUGGCAGACAUCUUGAACAAAGAUAAAUAGAACAAUGAUAUAGACGAAAGAACAAACUUGAUCAAGCAAAUCCUCCCAGCCAUUGAGAGAAAUCUCCCUUUCCAAGAACUCAAUCUAGUAUUGAUUCUGUCAACUACACCGUCCCAAAAUGCGCUCCUCUUCUGACACCCCCCAAUUGGCAACCCCAAGUACUUGAAAGGGGUUUUCGUCACUUCGCAAUUCAGAAUAGACGCAAAUCAGAGAAUAGCUUUCUGAUUGACCCCCACCCCACCAAUUCUGCUCUUCGAGAAAUUCACCUUCAGACCAAAAGCUAGCUCAAAGCAAUUCAACAUAACCCUAAGGUUGUACACACUUUUAAUGCUGGCAGCGCAAAAAACAAGGUGUCAUAUGCAUAUUGAAGCAUAUUAACCUUAACCUUCUUGUACCCAACCUCAAGGCUCUCAAACAAGUUUUUGUCAACAACAUUCCUAGACACCCCGACAAGUCCUUCAGUUGCAAUAAGAAACAAAAAUGGUGCUAACGGAUCUCCUUGCCUCAAGCCUUUCUUCGGAGUAAACUCCUUAGUCGGGCUACCAUUUACUAGUACAAACACCGUCGCGGAUUCCAAACAAGAUUUAAUCUAGGAAAUCCACUUCUCGCAAAACCCAAGUUUGUCUAUCAUGUAAAAGAUAAAUUCCCAACGCACAGAGUCAUAUGCCUUCUCAUAAUCCACCUUAAAAAGACACAACUUUUCUUUUUCUGCUUCACCUCCUCCAACACUUCAUUACCCACUAAAACACUAUCAAGUAAACAUCUUCCUUCGAGGAAAGCAUAUUACCUAAGAUUAAUGAAUUUAUUCAGCACUUAGAAAUAAUCUUGUAUAUGCACCCCACUAACGAAAUUGGUCUGAAAUCACUCAAUUGUUGUGAAUUGUCGAUUUUCGGGAUGAGACAGAUGAACGGCGUGUUUGACCUCCUUGCCUAUAUUCCUCUAAAUGCAAAUUCAUUCACUGCCGAGAGGAUAUCCUCCUUUAAACAUUCCCAAUAGAACUUAAUGAAACCAAAGUUGAAACCAUCUGGGCCAGGGCUUUUCGAGCUGUCACAACUCCAAACUGCAUCCGUAACUUCCUCUUCAGAAAACGCACCUACUAGCAUCUCGUUGUCGUCGCUAGAAAUUCUAUUAAAACCUAUAUUAUUCAAUCUGACCUGCGGCCCAACAUUCCCAUCAAAUCUGGCUUUGUAAAAAUCUCUGACCUUAUUUUUAACCACAUCCUUGUCUUCGCACCAAAGACCAUUCUCAAAGACCCUGUUAAUCCCAUUUCUCGCUCUUCUCCACUUAACUACCGAAUGAAAGAAUUUUGAAUUUAAAUCGCCUUGUUUUAACCACUUUUGGCGGGCUUUUGACUAAAUGUAACAAAACAUUUUUUGCAUAUGCUGCUAAGCAAGCCCAUUAUCAAUCAGGUUCAAGUGAGUUGACAAGCCUUCCAGCAGCUUCAGAAUGGAAGCCCUGACCAAGAUUCCUGCAUCCCCCAAACUCUGUCGAAGUUUGUCUUCAGCUUUUAAGCUGCAUUUCUGAUGAACCAUUAAGGUCCAGUUUUGCAUAUAAUCUGAGCCUUUCUCUAAGGUUUGCAAUCAGAACCGAAAAUGCAUUUUGCAUAACUUCUGAGCUGCACUCUCGAUCAGUUGUGAUACCACAAGUCCUAUACAUAUGUGCAUUGUGUUGCCUAUGUAGUUUGCUACACAGCUCUCCGAAACACAGGUGCUAUCUAAAUAGCACAGACCUCCACCAGACACUCAUAAAGCUGCGAUUAAUAAGCUGCAAAAUAGGUUAUCCUUUCCCAAUUUGUCUUUGUGCUCUUGAUCUGCAUAACUUUUUGGCGUUGCAACCUGCAUAACAAAGAUAGUGUAUAUAUAGUUUUAAAGACUACCUAGAAAUUGAAUUUGAAGGAAAAGACUGUUAAUAGGAUGGAGGGCAUAUACAUGAAAUAUCAUGUGGUUCUGUCUUCAAGGCCUCUAUCAAGGAUAAAGUGGUGUAGACAUGUGUAACUCCACCACCUUAUCAAACACACGAGAAGUACACAAGUGAUGUUAAACGCUCAUUCAUGCAUUAAUUGGAAUUUCAUAAUGGUGUAAAUAUGUUUGGGACAUGUUUUCUUCAGGUUGAUAAUGCAGCCUAAUGUUUAAGUAAUGUACAGAUGGAAAGUAAUUUCCGACUAUUGAAUUAUAAGGCUACGGAUAGCAAGAGAUUUUAGACCAUAAUAUUUUAGAGGUUUAGAUCAUACGUCCGUUUUAUUUCAAGUGGAUUCACUUGAGAAGGUGGGGCCCAUACUCUCCACUGUAACAUGUUACAUUAUUCAUCCUUGAGAAAGUCCUACAAGGCAACAACACAUGCCCCUGUCUCACUGUUGGUCCCGUGAAUCAUAUCUCAUCGCUCUUUCACUCAACUAUUUAUGUGGACAACAAUUAUACACUGUUCUUUCAUCUCUAUAUAUAUCUGCAACUCUACAAGCCUUUAACACAACAAAAAUCAUUCACUUCCCAAAAGUAUUUGAAGUUCAUAAACUUGCAUCUUACAGAAUCAUUUUUCAUAACUUUUUUUCCGAAGUCUCAACACAUACAACAAUGGGGUUUCGUUUACCUGGUAUGAGAAAGACAUCAUUUGCUACAAACCAAGCAUCUUCGAAGGGCAUGGAUGUGGCAAAGGGCUACCUUGCAGUCUAUGUAGGAGAGAAAAUGAAGAGGUUGAACCAACCAUCAUUUCAAAACUUGUUGAGUCAAGCUGUGGAAGAAUUUGGGUAUGAUCACCCAAUGGGUGGUCUCACAAUUCCUUGCGGAGAAGAUUUGUUCUUGGAUAUCACUUCUCGCUUGAUGAGGUGCUAGUCCAUAUAGAUGACAUAGAUGUAUAUGUACAGACACAAUUUUUGUAGCAUAGUUUCUUACUCAAUUUAUUCUAUAUUGGGACAGUACAAAAAAUGUUAUCAGAAAUUUCCUACAAGACGAGUUUUCUCACAUAUUUCUUCCAUCUGUCAUACUGAUCUACGUAGUUGUUGAAUAUGAAAUUAGCUACUCGUCUCUCUAACCAAAUAAUUCUUAAUGUAUCCGAUUAAAAUUCAGCUAUUAUCUCUACAUUUUGUAACUUAGUUCAAUAUAAAAAAUAACUACAUUAUGAGAGAGAGGAAAAGGAGAUAACUUUAAAACAAGAUCACGGAUGCAAUAGAGAAAUAGAGAAAAAAACUCAUCGAAAUUUAAGCCUUUAUGAACCUGAAGUGGUUUUCAUCUUGCUUAAAGAUUUUUGUGAAACAUCCAUGGUCACUGAAAAUCCGAAAUAUGGCGUGACACGAGUUCAAAUCCAUUCAUAGAAGUCUCUGUGAUUCACAUAUGAGGGAGGACCUAAUUCUUUAUUAUAAACAAGUCUUCAUAUAUGUGUGUUAAGCGCCAACACCAUCUUUGCUUAAUCAUGUUAGAUGGUUUUACGGCCACAACAGGUUAUUGUAAUGACGAGUUCUCCAUUGAUUGAAUAUUCUUCAAACCUUGAACUAUUAUAAGUAGUAUCUUACUCCUGAAAUGGGGGAUAAUUGCCCCAGUUUGUAAUCUGGGAUCUUAAGAUGAUGGAAGCAUAAGCAACUGCCCUGCUUUUUUAUUGGGUAAAAUUGAGAAAAGAAAAUGGAAUAAAAAGUGAAGUUUUCCCCAAUGAGGAUUUUAAGAGGGUGGAAUAACAUGGUGAUGGAUGGGAUGAAGUAAUUUCUCCAUUUUCUUCUUUCUUCUGUAAUGUUUGUUUAACAAUUCAAAAAAAAAAAAAUAAACAAUAUCAUCCUCUUACAAAAUGGAAACUGUGUAUGUAGAAUCUAUAUACAGAUAAAAGAAACCAUACCUCAAAAUCAUAUGUAAUUUUUAUAAUCCUAUCCAUUAAAAUGAAUGCGAAGAACACAACUUAACACAACUUAACUUGAAGUCCAUUAAACUGUCUUGCUAGGCAAAAACCACUAGUGUGUAUAAAACACUUAAAAAACUUUCAAAUCCAUUCUAAAAAGAUUGAUUCUUGUCCUCAGCACUAUAAAAGUACUAAUAUCUCCACCCCCUCCCUGCCUUCCCCUGAUCGCGAAGCACUGGUUUUCUUAUGCUGUGGAACUUAAGAAAAUAUAUAGUCGAUUUCUAGUGUUGUAUACCAUUCCAACUACUGGAGAAGUAAACAUUGAAAGAUGUAAAUAGAAAGACUUAGCAUUUGAAUUCGUUAUCAUUACUCAAAAUUUGGUAAUAAUAGUUACAAGUUCGAGAAGAUGCCCAUUGUACAAAAAUGUCUCUAAUAAUCUAUGUUAGUCUCCUAAAGUGAGAUCUAUUGUCCCUUGAAACAAGAAACUGUAUGUUGGAAGACAUCCUCACUGCAAGGAAUUGUGAGGCCACCCAUGGGAUGAUCAUAUCCAAACUCUUCCUCAGCUUGACUCAGUAAGUCUUGGAAUGAAGGUUGGUUCAAGUAUGAGAUGGAAAUCACAAACCGUUUUUGUUUCUCUCCAACAUACACGACAAAAUAGCCCUUCGGUAUGUCCUCAGAUUUUGAAGUUGCUUGUCUUGCUGUCAAUGAUGCCCUUCGGAUGGCAGGUAAACGGAAACCCAUUUUUUGAGCUAGUUUGAAGGAUGAAGAGAAAUCUCAAAUUUACAAAGAGUGAACCCAAAUUUUUAUGCUUGUCGAAGGCUUGUGUUGUUUUUGAAGGUAUAGGAUAGUGUAUAUAUAGCUGUGAAAAGAAGGAGGGCAUACAGAUGAGAUAUCACGUGGUGUUGUCUUCAAUACUUCUAUGAAGCAUAAUGAAGGGUACAGGAGUGUAACCCCACCUUGUUGAACAACAGGCAACAUUAAGCCUCCACAUGUACCCAAUGAAACGUGGCUAAGUGAAGACCUAAAUUUCUUCAUGCAUUAAUUGGUAUUACAUAUUUUGCAAAACAUGCUUUGGACAUGUUUUCUUCACUUCACCUAAUGUUGAAGAACAGCUGGAUAGAUGAAAUUAUAAGGAAAUGGACAGCGAGAGAUGAUAGACCAUUAUAUUCAUGAGAUUUGAAAUCAUAAGUCUAAUCUAUUUCAGGUGAAUUGGCUUGAGAUAGUGUACUAUCGACUGUAACAUCUCCCAUUCAAGUAGCCGACGAUAUCCUACAAAAAAUUUCAUCUAUAUAUAUAUUCUAGGCUGCAAGCCUUUGGGACAACAAAAAUCAUUUCCUAAACCAUUUUAACUUCACAAACUAGCAUCUUAUUUGCAACUCUCUUUUCUCAACUUUCUCUUCCCAAGUAUCAACAUAUAAAACAUGGGUUUUCAUUUACGUGGUAUCAAAAAGGCAUCCCUUCCUGCAAUCCAAGCAUUUUCAAAAGUUGUGAACGUGCCAAAGGGUUACAUUGCAGUCUAUGUUGGGGAUAAAUUGAAGCGCUUCAUGAUUCCUGUAUCCUACUUAAACCAACCUUCAUUUCAAGAUUUGUUGAGUCAAGCUGAGGAAGAAUUUGGGUAUGACCAUCCAAUGGGUGGUCUCACAAUUCCUUGUGGAGAGGAUGUGUUCUUAGAUAUCACUUCUCGUUUCAAUAGGUGCUAAUUGCAUGAAGAUGAAACUGACUUAGAUGUAGACUAUACUUGACACAUUUUUGUAUCUUAGUUUCUUACCUUGAAAAUAUCCCCUCUCUAUUUUUCUUAUCUUGUUUAGGCAAGUGUAAAAAAUAUUAAUCUGAAUGAGAAGAUUUCUACACAAUGUUUUUUCUCACAUUUUUUGUGAAUCUGACCUAUAUAAUUACUGAAUAAGAAAUUUGUUAAAAAUCUUAUCUGUAUCACAUUUUCGCUUCAUCUAUCAUGAGUGAUGUAACAGAGAAAUAAAACGAAGCAUUCAUGAAAAUUAUAAGCUUUUGUUAACCUGAACUGCUUUGGUUCACCUGGCUCCAAGUGCUAUGCGAACAUCUCUGGUCACUUGAAUAUUUCCUGACAUGAGAUCAUAUUUCAUUCAUAAAAUUCUUUCACCCACCUAUGAAGGAGGCCUCAUUAAGCAGCAUCUCACCAUGUUUUCAUGAUGGAGUUUGUUAGUUUUACUUGAAGCAGUUGAAGAAAUUUUAAUCACCUUGUUUUGGAUGAAAACAGAGAUUAAAAAUCUUAAUCCUGGAACGGGGGAUAAAGUGACUGCCCUAUUUUAUAUAAUAGAUAUAUAUGUUAUCCACUGAAAUUAAUAGGAACAACAAAACUUCAUUUGAAGUCCAUUAUAACUGCCAUGGCUGGGGCAAAAUCUCACGUAUGAUUGGAACCAUGAAUUUUAAUUUAACACGUGUGAAUAAAACUUCAAAAAUAUAUUUAAAUUCGUCCCUCACAAAUUGAUGCUUUUCGUUUACCAUAGCAAAACACUCUUACUCUGCCCUGGGCUGACUGUGCAGAUCUUGGUUUUCUAGGCUGACGAAUUUGUGAGAACAAAAGUCUUUUUUGUGGAACAUAAUAAAUGUGGCUCUUAAAUGAUUUUAUGAGCAGUUACUAGAAAUAUUAAAUCAAUAAUUAAAACAUAAUUAAAACAACAGAGGAAUAAUAAAAUAUCACGUGUGCAUUUAUAUGCAGUUAAAAAACACAAUAUCCAACACUCUCCUUGAUUUUUUGAACUGCAAAUUCCAAUCUUCGGUCUUGAGAACUCAAACUUGUUGGCUGGGAGUGGCUUGAUAAACAAAUCUGUAAUUUUUUUUUUCAUCAUCGCUUUGCUUAAUCUCCAUUCAACACCUUUUGAUUUGACAUAAGGUGCAAAUUCUAAAAGACUUUUGUUAAAGUCUAAGCUGAUAAGAUAAUCAUCAAUUCGGUUAUACCAUGUUCUGGGAACAUCUUUUAAGCUAUAAAUAGCUUUAGAUAACUUAUAAACUUUGUCUUCUUUUCCUUCCACAAUGAAACCUUUAGGUUGCUCAACAGAAAUUUCUUCUUCAAUAAAUCCAUUAAGGAAUGUUGACUUGACAUCCAUUUGAUGUACCUUUCUAUCUCGAGGUAUGUCAACAAGCUCCCGAAUUUUGUUCUUCUCAAUCAUAUACACAUCUUUCUCCAUUGUCUUUUUCAACUUUGGGUCAUUGAUAACUUCUUUGUGAUCAGCACAAGUUCUUUGUGAUCAGCACAAGUUCUUUGUGAUCAGCAGGUUCACAUACUGCAACGUUACAUUUAUGAUAUAUGUCAGAGAAUGAUCGAUUGCCUUUAAUUGGUGGAUCAUCUUCCAUUUCAGAUUUUUGCAUCUUGAGAAGCCAUUGACUAGUCAGCUCCUCUUGAAAUAGAUCUAAUGAGAAACUUUUGCCUCUCAUUUGUACCUUGAACAAAUCUUGCCCUGUAGCAUCCUUGAUCAAACAAUAGUUAUCUUCAAAAAACAUUGGUUCCUAUUCCUUUUAUUGAAAUGUGACCCCCAUGACCUAUCUUGACCUUUGAAAUUUUUGAAGGCUUCAACUCAUUGAAUUUUUUUUUGUCAUAAGUCAUGUGAUUUGUGCAUCCACUAUCAAUUAGCCAAGAUGCACUUGAAAUAUUGCUGGAGAAACCAGUUGCAAAGAAAAGUACAUCCUCCUCCUCAUUUGCAAAUUGAGCAUCUACAUCUACGUCUUGUGCUCACUUUGGUUUCCAUCUUGUUGCUCACUUUGGUUUCUACAAAUGACUGCUUUUGAUUGCACUUGUUGCACUUAGCAUCAGGUCUUCUCCAGGACUUAAAUGGUGGAUGACCUAACUUGUUGCAAAUUGCAAUGCUUACAAGGAGGGUAAUUUCUCCUUUUGUUGUUAUUGUGUGCAGCAACUUCUCCAUUUGCUGGUUAUGCUUGAUUUUUUUUGUUUCUCCAGCCACCUUCAUGUUUGGCUGUUAAGGCUCCUUCUAUUGCUCCAUCUUUUCUCAUGACUUUUCUUUGUUCUUGUGCUUGUAAAGCAUUUAAGAGCUCUGCAAGAGAAAUUUUUGAUAGGUCCUUUGUGUUCUCUAGGGUUGUUACGGUGGCUUCAAACUUCUCUAGAACAGUUACAAGCAGUUUUUUCACAAUUCUUGAAUCUUUUAACACAAAUCCAAGCAACCUCACUUUGUUGGCAAUGCUUAGAAGUCUCUCAGGGUACUCUUUUACGGAUUCUGACUCCUUCAUUAUCUGCAUUUCAAACUCCCUGAUUAGAUUCAACACUUGCAUUCCACGAAUCCUCUCAUCGCCUUCAUAUUCUUCCUUGAGGCAAUCCCAUAUUUCUUUUGCUAACUUCAAAGACAUUAUCCUUGUGAAUACCAUAGGAGAUACAACUGCAAAUAGACAUGCUUUUUCCUUUGAUCUUUUCAUCUUCUUUUUCUUCUGUGAUUUUAUUUGUGCCACAGUAGGGUUUUCUGGAAGGGACUAAAUUUCAUAAAUCAAAUGCUUCUAGGUAGGUCUCCAUACGAACAACCCAUAUUUGAUAAUUGUCUCUAUGAAAGACAGGUGGUGUCAUUGCUGAAAAAUUGGAACCUCCUUCCAUUGAUGCCCCCUACUAACCUUGGUUUUUUUAGAAUAAAUCAGAUGAAGAUAUUUUUAUUAUUUUUGCUAACAAUUACAUUUAUAGUACUUGCAGUAACUAACUCUUAAAUGAUUUUAUGAACACUUACCUAGAAAUAUUAAAUCAACAAUUAAAACAGAAGAAUAUAAUAUCACGUGCACUUAUGUGCAUUUAUAUGCAAUUAGAAAACACAAUAUCCAAUAUCCAACAGAAUGUCAGUAUCCUAAAGUGUGAGAUUUAUUGUCCAUUCAAGCAGGAAGUUAUAUGUUCAAAGACAUCUUCAGUACAAGGAAUUGUGAGGCCACUAUGGGAUGAUCUAUCCAAACUCUUCCUCAGCUUGACUCAAUAAAUAUUAGAGGGAAGGUUGGUUCAAAUAUGAUAUGAAAAGAACAAACAGCUUCUGUUUCUCUCCAGCAUACACUGCAAGAUAUUGGUUUGCAACUUUUACAGAUUUUGAAGCUGCAUGCCUACCUGUGGGAUGACUGUCAAUAGCAAGUAAGCGGAAACACAAUUUUUGUGCUUGUUAUGAGAAGAAAGAAGAACAAUAUGAGAUUAACAUUGAAUGGACCUAAAAUUUCAUGUUUGUGGAUGACAAUAAAGAUAGUGUAUAUAUAGUUUUAAAGACUCCCUGGAAACUGAAUUUGAAGGAAAAUGUAGAUUUUUUAGGAACAAAGGCAAUAGUUAACAGAGAAGAAAAUGGAGAGUAUGCAAAUCUGAUUAAAGACUGGGAUUGCUAACUGCUGCAAACUAUUAUUUUAAGGCAACUAAAUUAAAUACACUCAGAUAAUAACAGACUAAGAUAUUAGGUUUCAUGAUUCUAGACACUACAUUGAUCAUGAAAAUAGUUAAUCCACUAACAGCUAAUUCAACAGAAUAAAUUUCACUUAUUCAAGAAUGAAACAAUUCUGACAAGUUCCUGAAUAUAUGAAACACCCAAAGACACGUUCUCAAUAGAAAAGACUGUUAAAAGAUGAAGGGCAUACACAUGAGAUAUCAUGUGGUUCUAUCCUCAAUGUCUUUCUCUAGGAUAAAGUUGUUUAUUCAUGCAUUAAUUGGUAUUUCAUGAUUGUGUACAUAUGCUUGGGACAUGUUUUCUUCAGGUUGAUAAUGCAGCCUAAUGUCUAAGUAAUGUACAGAUGGAAAGUAAUUUCCGACUAUUGAAUUAUAAGGCUACGGAUAGCAAGAGAUUUUAGACCAUAAUAUUUUAGAGGUUUAGAUCAUACGUCCGUUUUAUUUCAAGUGGAUUCACUUGAUAAGGUGGGGCCCACACUCUCCACUGUAACAUGUUACAUUAUUCAUCCUUGAGAAAGUCCUACAAGGCAACAACACAUGCCCCUGUCUCACUGUUGGUCCCGUGAAUCAUAUCUCAUCGCUCUUUCACUCAACUAUUUAUGUGGACAACAAUUACACACUGUUCUUUCAUCUCUAUAUAUAUCUUCAACUCUACAAGCCUUUAACACAACAAAAAUCAUUCACUUCCCAAAAGUAUUUGAAGUUCAUAAACUUGCAUCUUACAGAAUCAUUUUUCAUAACUUUUUUUCCGAAGUCUCAACACAUAUAACAAUGGGGUUUCGUUUACCUGGUAUGAGAAAGACAUCAUUUGCUACCAACCAAGCAUCUUCAAAGGGUAUGGAUGUGGCAAAGGGCUACCUUGCAGUCUAUGUAGGAGAGAAAAUGAAGCGGUUUGUAAUCCCUGUAUCAUACUUGAACCAACCAUCAUUUCAAAACUUGUUGAGUCAAGCUGUGGAAGAAUUUGGGUAUGAUCACCCAAUGGGUGGUCUCACAAUUCCUUGCAGAGAAGAUUUGUUUUUGGAUAUCACUUCUCGCUUGAUAGGUGUUAAUCCAUAUAGAUGACAGAGAUGUAAAUGUAUAGACACAAUUUUUGUAGCAUAGUUUCUUACUUUGACAAUAUUCUCUGUCCAUUUUUAUUCUAUAUUGGGAAAGUACAAAAUUGUUAUCAGAAAUUUCCUACAAGACGAGUUUUCUCACAUAUUUCUUCAUCUGUCAUUCUGAUCUACCUAGUUGUCGAAUAAGAAAUUAGCUACUCGUCUCUAACCAAAUAAUUCUUAAUGUAUCCGAUUAAAAUUCAGCUAUUAUCUCUACAUUUUGUAACUUAGUUCAAUAAAAAAAUAACUGCGUUAUAACCGAGAGGAAAAUAAGAUAAGUUUAAAACAAGAUCAUGGAUCCAAUAGACAAAUAGAAAAACUCAUCGAAAUUUAAGCCUUGAUGAAUCUGAAGUGCUUUGAUUUCAUAUUGCUUCAAGAUUUUUGUAAGCCAUCCAUGGUCAAUGAAAAUCUAAAAUAUUGCUUGACACGAGAUCAAAUCCAUCCAUAAAAGUCUCUGUGAUUCACAUAUGAGGGAGGACCUAAUUCUUUAUGAUAAACAAGUCUUCACAUAUGUGUGUCAAGUGCCAACACCAUCUUCGCUUGAUCGUGUUAGUUGGUUUUAGGGCCACAACAGGUUAUGGUAGUGAACUAUUUUAAGAGAUUACCAUCUAUUUGGGAAGAAAAUAGAAAUUAGGUAUCUUACUGUGAGGAGUUAAGUUUUUUUUAGAAGAGUGUAUUAUUCUGAAUACAUAAAUGAAGGUGUAUCAGCUUCUACAUGAUGUAGAAGCUUAAGUACCAUACUCCUGGUAUAGGGGAUUAUUGACCCAGUUCGUAAUGUGGGAUCUCAAGAUGAUGCAAGGACAAGCAAUUGCCCUCCUUUUUUUAUUGGGUUGAAUUGAGAAAGGACAUAGGAAUAAAAAGUGAGGUUAUCUCCAAUGAGGAAUUUAAAGUGUGUGGAAUCACCUGGUGAUUGAUGGGAUGAAGUAAUUUCUCCCUUUUCUUUCUUUCUUUAUUUUGUAAUGUUUGUUUAACAAUUCAAACAAUCUAAUCCUCUUAAAGAAUGGAAACUGUAUUCGUAGAAUCUACAUAUAGAUAAAAAGAAACCUUGCAUCAAAUGCAUAUGAAAUUUUUAUAAGAAGGAUCUUAUCCAUUGAAAUGAAUGGGAACAACACAACUUAAUUUUAAGUUCAUUAUAACAUUUCAAACCAUUCUAAAGAAGUUGAUGCUUCUCCUCGGCACUAUAAAAAUACUAAUAUCUCCACCCUUCCCCACCUUGCCCUGAUUGUGAAGCAGAUGGUUUUCUUAUGCUGCGGAACUUAUGAGAAUAGUGGAGUCUUUUUAGUGGUUUAUACCAUUCCCAUUGCUGGGAGAAGUAAACAUUGAAAUAGAUCUCUUAUAAAGACUUAGCAUUUGAAUUCGUUAUCAUUACUCAAAAAUUUAGUAAUAAUAGUUACAAGAUCGAGAAGAUGCCCAUUGUACAAAAAUGUCUCUAAUAAUCUAUGUUAGACUCCUAAAGUGAGAUCUAUUGUCCCUUGAAGCAAGAAAUUGUAUGUUGGAAAACAUCUUCACUGCAAGGAAUUGUGAGGCCACCCAUCGGAUGAUCAUGUCCAAACUCUUCCUCAGCUUGACUCAAUAAGUCUUGGAAUGAAGGUUGGUUCAAGUAUGAAAUGGAAAUCACAAACCGUUUUUGUUUCUCUCCAACAUACACAGCAAAAUAGCCCUUCGGUAUGUCUUCAGAUUUUGAAGAUGCUUGUCUUGCUGUCACUGAUGCCCGUCGGAUGGAAGGUAAACGGAAACCCAUUUUUUGAGUUUGUUUGAAGAAAGAAGAACAAUCUCAAAUUUACAGAGAAUGAACCUAAAUUUUGAUGCUUGAGGAUUACAAAGGCUUGUGUUGUUUUUGAAGGUAUAGGAUAGUGUAUAUAUAGCUGUUAAAAGAAGGAGGGCAUAGAGAUGAGAUAUCACGUGGUGAUGUUUUCAGUAUUUCUAUAAAGCAUAAAGAAGGGUACAGGAGUGUAACCCCACCUUGUUCAACAACAGGCAACAUUAAGCCUCCACAUGUACCCAAUGAAACGUGGCUAAGUGAAGGCCUAAAUUUCUUCAUGCAUUAAUUGGUAUUACAUAUUUUGCAAAACAUGCUUUGGACAUGUUUUCUUCACUUCACCUAAUGUUGAAGAACAGCUGGAUAGAUGAAAUUAUAAGGAAAUGGACAGCGAGAGAUGAUAGACCAUUAUAUUCAUGAGAUUUGAAAUCAUAAGUCUAAUCUAUUUCAGGUGAAUUGGCUUGAGAUAGUGUACUAUCGACUGUAACAUCUCCCAUUACUCCCUAAGAAACACAUUCAAGGCAACACCAUGUGCCCUUUCUGUUCUAUCGGUCCCAUGACUCUUAUCACAUAGCCCUUCACUCUCAAUCAUUCAAGUAGCCGACGAUAUCCUACAAAAACUUUCAUCUAUAUAUAUAUUCUAGGCUGCAAGCGUUUGGGACAACAAAAAUCAUUUCCUAAACCAUUUUAACUUCACAAACUAUCAUCUUAUUUGCAACUCUCUUUUCUCAACUUUCUCUUCCCAAGUAUCAACAUAUAAAACAUGGGUUUUCAUUUACGUGGUAUCAGAAAGGCAUCCCUUCCUGCAAUCCAAGCCUUUUCAAAAGUUGUGAACGUGCCAAAGGGUUACAUUGCAGUUUAUGUUGGAGAUAAAAUGAAGCGGUUCAUCAUUCCUGUAUCAUACUUGAACCAACCUUCAUUUCAAGAUUUGUUGAGUCAAGCUGAGGAAGAAUUUGGGUAUGAACAUCCAAUGGGUGGUCUCACUAUUCCUUGUGGAGAAGAUGUGUUCUUAGAUAUAACUUCUCGUUUCAAUAGGUGCUAAUUGCGUGAAGAUGAGACUGACUUAGAUGUAGACUAUACUUGACACAGUUUUGUAUCGUAGUUUUAGCCUUGAAAAUAUCCCCUCUUGCCAUUUUUGUUAUUUGUUUAGACAAGUGUAAAAGAAUGUUAAUCUGAAUGAGAAGUUUUCUACAUGAUGUUUCUUAGCACAUUUUCUAUAAAUCUGAUUUAUAUAUCACAUUUUCUCUUUAUCUAUCGAUAAGAUUUAAAUUAAACUAUUAACUCCACAUUUUAUAACAAAAUUAAUUAAAAAAACUACUUAGAAGAGAUAAGAAGAUAAGUUUAAAACAAAACGAGUGAUGUAACAGCAGAGAAAUAAAGCUAAGCAUAUGGCUGACUAAUUCAAUAGUAGUUGGGGUGAGGAGGUUGAGAGAGAUUUGUGUGUAACGUGUGGGGAGCUAACCGAAACAGUGAGCCACUUAUUAUUUAGUUGUAAGUAUGCAAUUCAAGUAUGGAAUUUGUGUAAUAAGUGGGUUGGGAUAACCUCUGUUUCGCAAAAUAUAUUAUAAAUUUGUCCGUCAUAAAUUGAUGCUUUUCGUUGACCAUAGCAAAACAUUUUUCUUUAGCUGUAGGGUGGCUGGUAGGAUCUGGCAAGGGUAGGAAGAUUCUCAGUUUAUCAUAAUAGGGCUUAUGUACACUUUAACCAAUAUGAAAUUAUUGGUAUGAACAACACUGUUAAUAAGAUUUGGAGGAACAUGUGGAUGGCUAUUGUUUGGAGGAUAUGGACUCGUAGAAAUAACAUAAUCUUUAGAGGUGGAAUUUUAGAUUCAGAAGAGGUUUUGCAUUGGCACAGAUCAUGACAUGGGCAUGACAACAGUUGUUUUUCAUAUUCUGAUUGGUGCCUAAAUCCAAUUGGAUGCCUGCAGUCUGUCAAAAAGGGCUAGUCUGUUAAAAAGGGUUGAAAUUAAGUGUUUAGAUAUUGGUACAGGGAUACCUGCAAAUUCUCAGUAAUUGUUACAUCAAUAUACAAGGAGUAAGUCUGCAUGUUAUGACCUUCUAUUUGCUUUGUUUAUGUGUUUCUUUUUAGUGCUCAGGUAUGCAUCUGUAUUGAACACACAGUGCAAAUUAACAUUGGAGUCCACGGGAGAUGAAACAAUUGUUGUUGAAGUUUCUCUCUAACCACAUGACAACCAAUGUCAAUGUGUUUAGUAUGUUUAUGGAAGCUGCUAAUUGUGCUAUAUUUCUUGCAGAUUGACUGUCAUAGAACAGGCUAGCUGCGUUGCAAGGUGCAAUGUGCAGAUCUUCAAGCAAGUAGACGAGCCACUCUAUCUUACUGUAGGUGGAGGCUAAAGCCCGAUACUCCGUUGUAUCUGGAAGUUAUUAAUGACCCAAAGUCGAAAAAGGUAAUGGAGGAAGAGGUGUAUAUGAUUGAGAAGAACAAAACUUGGAAGCUUGUUGACAUACCUCGAGAUUGAAAGGUACAUCAAAUGGAUGUCAAGUCAAUAUUUCUAAAUGGAUUUCUUGAACAAGAAAUUUCAGGUUUCAUUGGGGAAGGAAGAGAAGACAAAGUUUAUAAGUUGUCUAAAACCAUUUAUGGCUUAAAAGAUGUUCCCAGAGCAUGGUAUUAUCUUAUCAGGCUUAGGCUUUGAUAAAAGUCUUUUAAAAGGUGUUGAAUGGAGAUUAAGCAAAGUGAGGAUGAAAAAAAAAAUUGCAUAUUUGUUUACCAAGUCACUUCCAGCCAACAAGUUUGAGUUCUCAAUACAGAAGAUUGAAAUUUGCAGUUCAAAAAAUCAAAGAGGAGUGUUGAAUGUUGUGUUUUUUAACUGCAUAUAAAUGCACAUAAGUGCACGUGAUAUUUUAUUCUUCUGUUUUAAUUAUGUUUUAAUUGCUGAUUUAAUAUUUCUAGGUAUCUGGUCAUAAAAUCAUUUAAGAGUCAGUACUCCAGAUACUGUAAAUGUAAUUGUUAGCACAGAUAAUAAAAUAUCUUCCUCUAAUUUAUUCUUAAAAAAAACCAACAAUCUCAUCCUCUUACAAAAUGGAAACUGUGAUUUGUAGAAUCUAUAUAUGGACAAAAGAAACCUUACAUCAACUGCAUAUGAAAUUUUUAUAACAAAGGAUCUUAUCCAUUGAAAUCAAUGGGUACAACACGGCUUAAUUUUAAGCAUAUUAUAACUGUCUCGGCUGGGGAAAAAUCCGCUAGUGUAAAAAACUAAAAAACCUUUCAAACCCGUUAUGAGUAUAGUGGAGUCUUUUAGGUGUUGUAUACCAUUCCAAUUGCUGGGAGUAGUAAACAUUGAAAUACAUAAAUAGAAAGACUUAGCAUUUGAAUUCGUUAUCAUUACUCAAAAAAUUGGUAAUAAUAGUUACAAGUUCGAGAAGAUGCCUAUUGUACAAAAAUGUCUCUAAUAAUCUAUGUCAGUCUCCUAAAGUGAGAUCUAUUGUCCCUUGAAGCAAGAAAUUGUAUGUUGGAAGACAUCUUCACUACAAGGAAUUGUGAGGCCACCCAUGGGAUGAUCAUAUCCAAACUCUUCCUCCGCUUGACUCAGUAAGUCCUGGAAUGAAGGUUGGUUCAAGUAUGAGAUGGGAAUUACAAACCGAUUUUGUUUCUCUCCAACAUACACGGCAAAAUAGCCCUUUGGUAUGUCUUCAGAUUUUGAAGUUGCUUGUCUUGCUGUGAAUGAUGCCCGUCGGAUGGCAGGUAAACGGAAACCCAUUUUUUGAGUUUGUUUGAAGGAAGAAGAACAAUCUCAAAUUUACAGAGAAUGAACCUAAAUUUUGAUACUUGAGGAUUACAAAGGCUUGUGUUGUUUUUGAAGGUAUAUAGGAUAGUGUAUAUAUAGCUGUUAGAAGAAGGAGAGCAUACAGAUGAGAUAUCGCGUGGUGUUGUCUUCAGUACUUCUAUCAAGCAUAAAGAAGGGUACAAGUGUGUAACCCCACCUUGUUGAACAACGAACAACAUUAAGCCUCCACAUGCACCCAAUGAGAUGUGGCUAAAUGAAGGCCUAAGUCUCUUCAUGCAUUAAUUGGUAUUACAUAUUUUGUAAAACAUGUUUUGGACAUGUUUUCUUCACACUACCUAAAAUUGAAGAACAGCUGGAUAGAUGAAAUUAUAAGGCAAUGGACAGCGAGAGAUGAUAGACCAUUAUAUUCAUGAGAUUUGAAAUCAUACGUCUAAUCUAUUUCAGGUGAAUUGGCUUGGGAUAGUGUACUAUCGACUGUAACAUCUCAUAUUAAUCCCUAAGAAACACUUCCAAGACAACACCAUGUGCCCUUUCUGUCUUAUCGAUCCCAUGACUCUUAUCUCAUAGCCUUCCACCCUCAAUCAUUCAAGUAGCCGAUGAUAUCCUACAAAACAUUUCAUCUAUAUAUAUUCAAGGCUCUAAGCCUUUGGGACAACAAAAAUCAUUUCCUAAACCAUUUUAACUUCUCAAACUUGCAUCUUAUUUGCAGUUCUCUUUUCUCAAUUUUCUCUUCCCAAGUAUCAACAUAUAAAACAUGGGUUUUCAUUUACGUGGUAUCAGAAAGGCAUCCCUUCCUGCAAUCCAAGCCUUUUCAAAAGUUGUGAACGUGCCAAAGGGUUACAUUGCAGUCUAUGUUGGAGAUAAAAUGAAGCGGUUCAUGAUCCCUGUAUCAUACUUGAACCAACCUUCAUUUCAAGAUUUGUUGAGUCAAGCUGAGGAAGAAUUUGGGUAUGACCAUCCAAUGGGUGGUCUCACUAUUCCUUGUGGAGAAGAUGUGUUCUUAGAUAUCACUUCUCGUUUCAAUAGGUGCUAGUUGCAUGAAGAGACUGACUUAGAUGUAGACUCUACUUGACACAUUUUUGUAUCUUAGUUUCUGACCAUCAAAAUAUCUCCUCUCUCUCAAUUUUUGUUAUCUUGUUUAGGCAAGUGUAAAAAAAUGUUAAUCUGAAUGAGAAGUUUUCUACACGAUGUUUCUUCCCAAAUGUUCUAUGAAUCUGAUCUACAUAUCCCAUUUUCUCUUUUUCUAUCAAUCAGAUUUAAAUUAAACUAUUAACUCCACAUUUUCUUACAAAAUUAAUUAGAAAAACUACUUAGAAGAGAUAGAAAGAUAAGUUUAAAAUAAAAUGAGUGAUGUAACAGAGAAAUAAAGCUAAGCAUUGAUGAAAAUUAUAUGCUUUUGUUAACCUGAACUGCUUUGGUUUGACCUGGCUCCAAGUGAUUUGUGAACAUCUCUGGUCACUUGAAUAUUGCCUGACAGGAGAUUAAAUUCAUAAAAUUCUGUCACCAACCUAUGAAGGAGGCCCAAUUAGGCAGCAUCACCAUCUUUCCAAGAUGAAGUUUGUUGGUCUUACGGCCUCAAUAUAUGAUAUGCUGGUUUUUGGCUCAGUAAUUGAAUAGCAGUGGAGUUUGAGAGUGAUUUGUGUGUAACGUGUGGGGAGCUAACCGAAACAGUGAGCCACUUAUUUUAGUUGUAAAUAUGCAAUUCAAGUAUGGAAUUUGUGUAAUAAGUGGACUGGGAUAACCUCUGUUUCACAUAAUCAGGCAGAAAAGCACUUCAACCAUUUUUUUGUACUUUACAGCUUAACACCAAAGGUAACACAGUGUGGAAGUGCAUGUGGAUAGCAAUCAUAGAGGUAUAUGGAAUAUGAGAAACAGAAUUAUCUUAAAAAUGCAAGAGUGGAUGGGGAAGAAAUUUUUAAGUUGCCACAAAUUAAAGUGUGGGCAUGGGUGAUGUAUAGGUUCAAGAAGGCAACUUUUUCCUUUUCAGAUUGGAUUUUGUGCCCUUUAAUAUGCAUCAAGUAUAUUCAAUAAUCCUACAGUGGUAACUGUGUGCAGGUGAAUUUGAAAGACAAUAAUGCUUAAGGGUGUAAUAUAAUAUGGCUAUAGGUGGAGCCUUAAGAUCAUGACAAAAUAGGUGCACACACCUUGGUGGGAAGCAAAGGACCUUAGAGUGAACAUUAUGUAUAAGAGACGACCAUAGGUUCCCUGUGCAACAAUCUAAAUCAUGAGAUGGGUAGUUAAACAUAGCACAUUUGUAAACUUUUGGGGAUGACCAAACACCCUUAAGGGCAGGGGACUAUAUCUUCCAGUGGUUUGUUUUUUUAUUCUAGUAGUUGUGUUUUGCAGGUUAAGAAAAUCCACUAGGUCAUAGUGCAGUACCUUUGAUGCUAAGGAGAAAAAUAUCAAGAGCAGGUUGGGAAUACUCUGGAAAAGCUGCUAGAUAGGGGAGGUAACGUCUCCCAAGGGAACAGAGAAGAUAAUUGUAAGUGGGUUAGAGUACCUGCCAUUAUUGCCCCAUUUUGUAUUCUGUGAUCUUAAGAUGAUGCAAAGACAAGCAAUUGCCCUACUUUAUGUAUGGGGUAAAAUUGAGAAAGGAAAAUGGAAUAAAAAGUUAGGUUUUUCCCAAUGAAGAUUUUUAAGUGGGCGAAAUCACAUGGUGAUGGAUGGGAUGAAGUAAUUUCUACCUUUUCUUUUCUUUCUUUUCUAUUGUUUGUUUAACAAUUCAAACAACCAAAAUAAACAAUCUCAUCCUCUUACAAAAUGGAAACUGUGUUCCUAGAAUCCAUUUAUAGAUAAAAGAAACCUUACAUCAAAUACAUAUUAAAUUUCUAUAACAGGAGAUCUUAUCCAUUGAAAUGAAUGGGAACAACACAACAUAAUUUUAAGUCCAUUAUAACUGACUUGGCUAGGCCAAAAUCCGCUUGUGUAAAAACUUAAAAACCUUUCACAUCCGUUCUAAAGAAAUUGAUGCUUCUCCUCGGCCCUAUAAAAAUACUAAUAUCUCCGCCCCUUCCCUGCCUUGCCCAGAUUGCGAAGCACUUGGUUUUUUUAUGCUGUGGAACUUAUCAGAUUGCAAAGCACUUGGUUUUCUUAGGCUGUGGAACUUAUGAGAAUAUAUAGUGAUGUAUACCAUUCGAUGGCAGGGAGAAGUAAACAUUGUAAUAGAUAAGUAGAAAGACGUAGCAUUUGAAUUUGUUAUCAUUACUCAAAAAUUUGGUAGUAAUAGUUACAAGUUCGAGAAGAUGCCUAUUGUACAAAAUGUCUCUAAUAAUCUAUGUCAGUCUCCUAAAGUGAGAUCUAUUGUUCCUUGAAGAAAGAAAUUGUAUAUUGGAAGACAUCUUCACUGCAAGGAAUUGUGAUGCCACCCAUGGGAUGAUCAUAUCCAAACUCUUCCUCUGCUCGACUCAGUAAGUCUUGGAAUGAAGGUUGGUUCAAGUAUGAGAUGGGAAUCACAAACCGAUUUUGUUUCUCUCCAACGUACACGGCAAAAUAGCCCUUUGGUAUGUCUUCAGAUUUUGAAGUUGCUUGUCUUGCUGUGAAUGAUGCCCGUCGGAUGGCAGGUAAACGGAAACCCAUUUUUGGAGUUUGUUUGAAGGAAGAAGAACAAUCUCAAAUUUACAGAGAGUGAACCCAAAUUUUGAUGCUUGUGGCUUGUUUUGUUUUUGAAGGUAUAGGAUUGUGUAUAUAUAGCUGUUAAAAGAAGGAGGGCAUACAGAUGAGAUAUCGCGUGGUGUUGUCUUCAGUACUUCUAUGAAGCAGAAUGAAGGGUACAGGUGUGUAACCCCACCUUGUUCAACAACGGGCAACAUUAAGCCUCCACAUGUACCCAAUGAGACGUGGCUAAGUGAAGGCCUAAUUCUCUUCAUGCAUUAAUUGGUAAUAUAUAUUAUGUAAAACAUGUUUUGGACAUGUUUUCUUGACAUUAACUAAAGUUGAAGAACAGCUGGAUAGAUGAAAUUAUAAGGCAAUGGACAGCGAGAGAUGAUAGACCAUUAUAUUCAUGAGAUUUGAAAUCAUACGUCUAAUCUAUUUCAGGUGAAAUGGCUUGGGAUAGUGUACUAUCGACUGUAACAUCUCACAUUAAUCCCUAAGAAACACUUCCAAGGCAACACCAUGUGCCCUUUCUGUCUUAUCGGUCCCAUGACUCUUAUCCCAUAGCCUUCCACCCUCAAUCAUUCAAGUAGCCGACGAUAUCCUACAAAAACUUUCAUCUAUAUAUAUAUAUUCUAGGCUGCAAGCCUUUGGGACAACAAAAAUCAUUUCCUAAAGCAUUUUAACUUCACAAACUAGCAUCUUACUUGCAACUUUCUUCUUUUCUCAACUUUCUCUUCUCUUUCCAAGUAUCAACAUAUAAAACAUGGGCUUUCAUUUACGUGGUAUCAGAAAGGCAUCCCUUCCUGCAAUCCCAGCAUUUUCAAAAGUUCUGAACGUGCCAAAGGGUUACAUUGCAGUCUAUGUUGGAGAUAAAAUGAAGCGCUUCAUGAUCCCUGUAUCAUACUUGAACCAACCUUCAUUUCAAGAUUUGUUGAGUAAAGCUGAGGAAGAAUUUGGGUAUGAACAUCCAAUGGGUGGUCUCACUAUUCCUUGUGGAGAAGAUGUGUUCUUAGAUAUCACUUCUCGUUUCAAUAGGUGCUAAUUGCAUGAAGAUGAGACUGACUUAGAUGUAGACUAUACUUGACACAUUUUUGUAUCUUAGUUUCUUACCAUGAAAAUAUCUCCUCUCUGCAUUUUUGUUAUCUUGUUUUGGAAAGUGUAAAAAAUGUUAAUCUGAAUGAGAUGUUUACUACCUGAUGUUUCUUCUCACAUUUUCUAUGAAUCUGAUCUAUAUAUCACAUUUUCUCUUUAUCUAUCAAUCAGAUUUAAAUUAAACUAUUAUCUCCACAUUUUAUAACAAAAUUAGUUAUAAAAACUACUUACAAGAGAUACGAAGAUAAGUUUAAAAUAAAUGAGUGAUGUAACAGAGAAAUAAAGCGAAGCAUUUACGAAAAUUAUAAGCUUUUGUUAACCUGAACUUCUUUGCAAACAUCUCUGGUCACUUGAAUAUUUCCUGACAUGAGCUUAAAUUUCAUUCACAAAAUUCUGUCACCGACCUAGGCAGCAUCGCCAUCUUUCCAUGAUGAAGUUUCUUUGUUUUACGGUCAAAACAUAUGAUAUUUUGGUUUAUGGCUCACUGAUUGAAAAGUAGUAGGGGUGUGGAGGUUGAGAGUGGUAACUAAACAAAACUUGAGUAGUAUGGGUGUGGAGGUUGAGAGAGAUUUGUGUGUAACGUGUGGGGAGCUAACCCAAACAGUGAUCCACUUAUUUUUUAGUUGUAAGUAUGCAAUUGAAUUAUGGAAUUUGUGUAAUAAGUGAGUUGGGAUAACCUCUGUUUCGCAUAACCAGGCAGAAAAGCACUUCAACCAUUUUACAGCUUAACACCAAAGGUAACAUAGUGUGGAAGUGCAUGUGGAUAGCAAUCAUAGGGGUAUAUGGAAUAUGAGAAACAGAAUGAUCUUCAAAAAUGCAAGAGUGGAUGCGGAAGAAAUUUUUAAGUUGGCACAAAUUAAAGUGUGGGCAUGGGUGAUGUAUAGGUUCAAGAAGGCAACUUUUUCCUUAUCAGAUUGGAUUUUGUGCCCUUUAAUAUGCAUAAAGUAUAUUCAAUAGUUAGUAGAAGAAAAGAGUGAUGGGAUGCUUUUGCUAUGUCUUCCAGUGGUUUUUUUUUUUCUUGUAGUUCUGUUUUGCAAGGUAAGAAAAUCAAAUAAAGGUCAUAGUGAAGUAUCUAUGAUGCUAAAGAGAAAAAAAUCAGGAGCAGGUUGGGAAUACUCUGGAAAAGCUGCUUAGUACGGAAAGUAGUGCAUAUGAAAUUUCUACAACAAGGGAUCUUAUCCAUUGAAAUGAAUGGGAACAACACAACUUAAUUUUAAGUCCAUCAUACUGUCUUGGCUAGGCCAAAAUCCGCUAGUGUAAAAACUUAAAACGCUUUCAAAUCCGUUCUAAAGAAAUUGAUGCUUCUCCUAGGCCCUAUAAAAAUACUAAUAUCUCCGCCCCUUCCCUGGCUUGCCCAGAUUGCGAAGAACUUAGUUUUCUUAUGCUGUGGAACAUAUGAGAAUAUAUAGUCGAGUCCUUCUAGUGCUGUAUACCAUUCCAAUGGUUGGGAGAGUAAAUAUUGAAAUAGAUAAAUAGAAAGACUUAGCAUUUGAAUUCGUUAUCAUUACUCAAAAAAUUUGUAAUAAUAGUUACAAUUUUGAGACGAUACAAAAUGUCUCUAAUAAUAUAUGUCAGUCUUCUAAAGUGAGAUCUAUUGUCUCUUGAAGCAAGAAAUUGUAUGUUGGAAGACAUCUUCGCUGCAAGGAAUUGUGAGGCCACCCAUGGGAUGAUCAUAUCCAAACUCUUCCUCAGCUUGACUCAGUAAGUCUUGGAAUGAAGUUUGGCUCAAGUAUGAGAUGGGAAUCACAAACCGAUUUUGUUUCUCUCCAACAUACACGGCACAAUAGCCCUUUGGUAUCUCUUCAGAUUUUGAAGUUGCUUGUCUUGCUGUGAAUGAUGCCCGUCGGAUGGUAGGUAAACGGAAACCCAUUUUUUUAGUUUGUUUGAAAGUAGAAGAACAAUCUCAAAUUUAUAGAGAGUGAUCCAAAUUUUGAUGCUUGAGGAUUCAAAGGCUUGUGUUGUUUUUGAAGGUAUUGGAUAGUGUAUAUAUAGGUGUUAAAAGAAGGAGGGCAUACAGAUGAGAUAUCGCGUGGUGUUGUCUUCAGUACUUCUGUGAAGCAUAAAGAAGAGUACAGGUGUGUAACCCCACCUUGUUCAACAACAGGCAACAUUAAUGAGACGUGGCUAAGUGAAGGCCUAAGUCUCUUCAUGCAUUAAUUGGUAUUUCAUAUUUUUUCAAACAUGUUUUGGACAUGUUUUCUUCACAUCACCUAAUGUUGAAGAACAGCUGGAUAGAUCAAAUUAUAAGGCAAUGGAGAACGAGAGAUGAUAAACCAUUAUAUUCAUAAGAUUUGAAAUCUUAAGUCUAAUCUAUAUCAAGUGGAUUGGCUUGGUAUAGUGUACUAUCGUCUAUAACAUCUCCCAUUAAUUCCUAAGAAACACUUCCAAGGCAACACCAUGUGCCUUUUCUGUCCUAUCGGUCUCAUGACUCUUAAUCAUUCAAGUAGCCGACGAUAUCCUACAGCAAUUUUCAUCUAUAUAUAUUACACGGCUGCAAGCAUUCAGGGCAACAAAAAUCAUUCACAUCCUAAAGCAUUUUAACUUCAAAAACUAGCAUCUUCUUUACAACUCUGUUUUCUCAACUUUCUCUUCCCAAGUAUCAACUUAUAAAACAUGGGUUUUAGUUUACGUGCUAUCAGAAAGGCGUCCCUUCCUUCACUUCAAGCAUUUUCAAAAGCUGUGGACGUGCCAAAGGGUUACAUUGCAGUAUAUGUUGGAGACAAAAUGAAGCGGUUCAUGAUCCCUGUAUCAUACCUGAACCAACCUUCAUUUCAAGAUUUGUUGAGUCAAGCUGAGGAAGAAUUUGGGUAUGACCAUCCCAUGGGUGGUCUCACAAUUCCUUGUGGAGAAGAUGUGUUCGUAGAUAUCACUUCUCGUUUCCAUAGGUGCUAAUUGCAUGAAGAUGAAGUUGACUUAGAUGUAGACUAUACUUGACACAUUUUUGUAUCUUAGUUUCUAACCUUGAAAAUAUCCCCUCUUGCCAUUUUUGUUAUCUUGUUUAGACAAGUGUAAAAGAAUGUUAAUCUGAAUGAGAAGUUUUCUGCACGAAGUUUUUUCUCACAUUUUCUAUGAAUCUGAUCAAUAUAAUUACUGAAUAAGAAAUUCGUUAAAAAUCUUAUCUAUAUCACAUUUUCUCUUCAUCUAUCAACCAGAUUUAAACUAAACUAAUAACUCCACAUUUUAUAACAAAAUUAAUUGAAAAAUGACUGAUGUAACAGAAGAGAUAGGAAGAUAAGUUUAAAAUAAAAUGACUAAUGUAAUAGAGAAAUAAAACGAAGCAUUUUUACAUGAUGGAGAAGAUUCCUAUUGUACAAAAUGUCUCGACUAAUGUAUGUCAGUAUCCUAAAGUGUGAGAUUUAUUGUCCAUUCAAGCAGGAAGUCAUAUGUUCAAAGAUAUCUUCACUGCAAGGAAUUAUGAGGCCACCCAUGGGAUGAUCAUAUCCAAACUCAGCUUGACUCAAUAAAUCUUGGAGGGAAAGUUGGUUCAAAUAUGAUAUGAAAAGCUAAAAUUGCUUAUGUUUCUCUCCAGCAUACACUGCAAGACAUCGCUUUGGGACUUCUACAGAUUUUGAAGCUGCAUGCCUACCUGUGGAUGAUGACUGUCGAAUAGCAAGAAAAUGGAAACCCAUUUUUUGUGCUUGUCAUGAGAAGAAAGAAGAACAAUCUGAGAUUUAAAUGAAUGGACCUAAAAUUUCAUGCUUGAGGAUGCCAAUAAAGAUAGUGUAUAUAGUUUUAAAGACUCCCUAGAAACAGGAAUUUGAAGGAAAAUGUAGAUCUUUUAGAAACAAAGGCAAUAGUUAACAGAUAAGAAAAUAGAGAGGAUCCAAAUCUAUUAAAAUACUCUUCAACCAAAAAACUUGAUUCACAACUGCUAGUACAGCUGCAAUAAACUCAGCUUCAGCUGUUGACUGAGCUACAACCUCUUGUUUAAGUCUUUAUGAACCUGAACUGCUUUGAUUUCAUCUUGCUUCAAGAUUUUACUGAAUCAUUCUGGUCACUGAAAAUCUGAAAUAUGGUGUGACACGACAUCAAAUCCAUCCAUACAAGUCUAUGUGAUUCACAUAUGAGGACUUAAUUCUUUAUGAUAAACAAGUCUUCAUAUAUGUGACUCAAGCGGCAACACCAUCUUCACUUGAUCAUGUUAGGUGGUUUUACGGCCACAACAGGUUAUGGUUGUGACGAGUUCUCUAUUAACUGAAUAUUCUUCAAACCUUGAACUAUUUUAAGAUAUUAGGAAAAUAGAAAUUAAUUAUAUCUUGCUCCUGGUAUGGGGAUUAUUGCCCCAGUUUGUAAUCUGGAUCUCAAGAUGAUGCAAGGACAAAUAAAUGCCCCACUUUUGGUAUUAGGUAAAAUUGAGAAAGGAAAAUGGAAUAAAAAGUGAGGUUUUCCCCAACGAGGAUUUUUAAGUGGGUGGAAUCACAUGGUGAUGGAUGGGAUGAAGUAAUUUCUACCUUUCUUUCUUUCUUUUCAAAAGUUUGUUUAACAAUUCAAACAACCAAAAUAAACAAUCUCAUCAUCUUACAAAUGAAAACUGUGUUCCUAGAAUCUAUAUAUAGAUCAAAGAAACCUUACAUUAAAUGCAUAUGAAAUUUCUAUAAUAAGGGAUUUUAUCCAUUGAAAUUAAUGGGAACAACACAACUUAAUUUAAGUCCAUUAUUGUCUUGGCUGGGGAAAAAUCCUCAAGUGUGUAUAAAAAACUUAAAAACCUUUAAAACCCGAUCUAUAGAAAUUGAUGCUUCAUCUCGGCCCUAUAAAAUACUAUUAUCUCCGCCCCCUCCCUGCCCUGCCCAGAUUGCGAAGCACUUGAUUUUCUUACACUGGAUUUAUGAGAAUAGUGGAGUCUUUUUAGUGCUGUAUACCAUUCAUUGCUGGGAGAACUAAACAUUGAAAUAGAUAAAUAGAAAGAUUUAGCAUUUGAAUUCGUUAUCAUUACUCAAAAAAAUUGUAAUAAUAGUUACAAGUUUGAGACGAUACAAAAUGUCUCUAAUAAUCUAUGUCAGUCUUCUAAAGUGAGAUCUAUUGUCUCUUGAAGCAAGAAAUUGUAUGUUGGAAGACAUCUUCGCUGCAAGGAAUUGUGAGGCCACCCAUGGGAUGAUCAUAUCCAAACUCUUCCUCAGCCUGACUCAGUAAGUCCUGGAAUGAAGCUUGGCUCAAGUAUGAGAUGGGAAUCACAAACCGAUUUUGUUUCUCUCCAACAUACACGGCACAAUAGCCCUUUGGUAUGUCUUCAGAUUUUGAAGUUGCUUGUCUUGCUGUGAAUGAUGCCCGUCGGAUGGUAGGUAAACGGAAACCCAUUUUUUGAGUUUGUUUGAAGAAAGAAGAACAAUCUCAAAUUUACAGAGAGUGAACCAAAUUUUGAUGCUUGAGGAUUCAAAGGCUUGUGUUGUUUUUGAAGGUAUAGGAUAGUGUAUAUAUAGCUGUUAAAAGAAGGACGGCAUUCAGAUGAGAUAUCGCGUGGUGUUGUCUUCAGUACUUCUAUGAAGCAUAAAGAAGAGUACAGGUGUGUAACCCCACUUUGUUCAACAACAGGCAACAUUAAGCCUCCACAUGCACCCAAUGAGACGUGGCUAAGUGAAGGCCUAAGUCUCUUCAUGCAUUAAUUGGUAUUACAUAUUAUGUCAAACAUGCUUUGGACAUGUUUUCUUGACAUUGCCUAAUGUUGAAGAACAGCUGGAUAGAUGAAAUUAUAAGGCAAUGGACAGCGAGAGAUCAUAAACCAUUAUAUUCAUCAGACUUGAAAUCAUAAGUCUUCUCUAUUUCAAGUGGAUUGGCUUGGGACAGUGUACUAUCGACUUUAACAUCACCCAUUACUCCCAAAGAAACAUUUCCAGGACAACACCAUGUGCCUUUGCUGUCCUAUCAGUCCCAUGACUCAUAUCUCAUAGCUCUUCACCCUCAAUCAUUCAAGUAGCCGAUGAUAUCCUACAGCAUUUUUCAUCUAUAUAUAUUCACGAGCAAGCAUUCAGACCAACAAAAAUCAUUCACAUCCUAAGGCAUUUUAACUUCAAAAACGAGCAUCUCAUCUACAACUCUGUUUUCUCAACUUUCUCUUCCCAAUUAUCAACACAUAAAACAUGGGUUUUCUAUUACGUGGUAUCAGGAAGGCAUCCCUUUCUACAAUCCAAGCAUCUUCAAAAGUUGUGGACGUGCCAAAAGGCUACCUUGCAGUCUAUGUUGGAGAGAAAAUGAAGCGCUUCAUGAUUCCUGUAUCAUACUUGAACCAACCUUCAUUUCAAGAUUUGUUGAGUCAAUCUGAGGAAGAAUUUGGGUAUGAUCAUCCACUGGGUUGUCUCACAAUUCCUUGUGGAGAAGAUGUGUUCUUAGAUAUCACUUCUCGCUUGAAUAGGUGCUAAGUGCAUGAAGAUGGAACUGACUUAGAUGUAGACUAUAUACUCUGACACAUUUUUGUAUCAUAGUUUCUUACCUUGAAAUUAUCCCCUCUCUCCAUUUUUGGUAUCUUGUUUAGGCAAGUGUAAAAGAAUGUUAAUCUGAAUGAGAAGUUUUCUACACAGUUUUUUCUCACAUUUUCUAUGAAUUUGAUCAAUAUCACAUUUUCUCUUCAUCUAUCAACCAGAUUUAAAUAAAAUUAAUAACUCCACAUUUUAUAACAAAAUUAAUUAAAAAAACUACUUAGAAGUGAUAGGAAGAUAAGUUUAAAAUAAAAUGUCUGAUGUAGCAGAGAAAUAAAACGAAGCAUUCAUGAAAGUUUUAACCUUUUGUUAACCUGAACUGCUUUGGUUUCACCUGGCUCCAAGAUGCUUUGCGAAUAUCCCUGGUUACUUUAAAUAUUGCCUGACAUGAGAUCAAAUUUCAUCUAUAAAAUUCUGCCACUCACCUUUGAAGCAUUAAGCAGCAGCAGCAUCUUUCCAUGAUGAAGUUUGUUGGUUUUACGUCUACAACAUAUGAUAUGCUGGUUUAUGGCUCACUAAUUGAAUAUUCUUCAAACCUUGAAGCAGUUGAAGAAAUUUUAAUCACCUUGUUUUGGAUGAAAACAGAGAUUAAAAAUUUUAUCCGGGAUAAAGUGACUGCCCUAUUUUAUAUAAUAGAUAGGGAUGUUAUAAAAUUUCUUGAGUCAAGCUGAAGAAGAAUUUGGGUUUGAACAUCGUAUGGGUGGUCUUAGAAUUCCUUGCAGAGAAGAUGUGUUCUUAGAUGCCACUUCUAGCUUGAAUAGGUGAAAUCCAUGUAGAUGACUAAGAAGACAUGUUCUUAGAUGCCACUUCUAGCUUUAAUAGGUGCUAAUCCAUGUAGACAAGACUGACAAACAUAUACUACACUUGACACAUUUGUUUUAAUAUAGUUUCUUACCUUAAAAAUAUUCUGUCUCUCUUUAUCUUUGUUAACCUGGGCAAGUGUAAAAGGUGCUCAUCUGAAUGAGAAUGUUUGGAAACAUGAACCUUUCUCUCAUGAAUCUAUCUGUUGGAGGCACUAAUAGGCUGAAUGUUCAGUUUAGAAUCACUAAGUGAUAAAAUGUAGUUUUUUUUUCAAUACUAAAAAAUUGAUAAUUAAACAAGGAUUGUUGAAUACUCUUCCAUGCCAGAGUCAUCUGAAGAUAUUACCCUGUUAUUUUGAUUGAAAAUAAAAAGCAUCUGUAUAAAAUUGAAAUUAUGUGGACUUAGUACAACAAUCGUUAUAUAGAUAAACAAACCAUAGUCAAAUGAAUAUGAAUUUUUUUAGCUAUGGAUGUUAUUCAUUGAAAUUCAUGGCAACAAUAAUCCUUCAUAUUAAGUUCACUACAACUGCUUCAGCAGUUGGCAUGAGUGAAAUCUCCUGUAUGAUUGGGGAACUGAAUUGUAAUUUUCAAAUGUGUGUAUAAAACUUAAAAUUCUUUUAAAUUUGUCCAAAAAAAUAAAGGCAUGCCUUUAAAAUCUAUUAGCUCUGCCUUGUCCUAACUAUGAAUCACGUGGUCUGUAAAGCAGUGGAUUUUAUGAAAACAAUAGCAAGCAACCUUCUAAUAUUGUUUACAUUUUAAUCGCAGGAAGAAGAGAACAUAGUUAUUGAUAAAUAGAAACACUCAGAUAUUCAAAAAAAUUUCCAUUACUCAAAAAAUGGUAUAAUUGUUAGAAGUUAGAGAAGUUGCCAAUUGUACAAAAUGGCUCUACAAAACUGUGUCAGUUUCCUAUAGUAUGAGAUUCGUCCCUUCAUGGCAGAAGUUGUACACUCGAGGACAUUUUGCUGCAAGGAAUUGUGAGGUCACCCAUGGGAUGAUCAUGUCCAAACUCUUCCUCAGCUUGACUCAGCAAGUAUUGGAAUGAAGGUUGGUUCAAGUUUAUAUGAAAAUCACAAACCGUUUUUCCUUCUCUCUGACAUACCACAAGAUAGCACUUUGGUACUUUUCCAGCUGCUUUGCUAGCUGUGAAUGAUCCCGUCAAAUAGCAUGUAAAUGAAAACCCAUAUUUUGUGUUUGUUUUAAGAAAGAAGACAACGUCAAAUUUGCAAAGAGUGAACCUAAAUUUUGACGCUUGAGAAUGCCAAUGGCUUCAGUUGCGUGUGAAAUCAAAGGAUGGUCUAUAUACAGGUUUUAAGAUUCUCUAGAAAAAACCAAAUUCUUGGAGAAAAUGACAGUUAAAGGAAAAGGAGGUGUAUACAUGAGAUAUCACUUCCAUCAAGCAUAAAGUUGGGUAAAAGUGAGUAACCCCAACUUAUCAAAGAAAUGGCCAACAUAAAACCUUCUUCACAUGCAUGGCAUAUGACCAAACGAGACGUGCCUAAUUGAGAACCAAAGGUCUCUUCAUGCAUUGAUUGGUAUUCCAUACUUUUGAAACAUGCUUUUGGCAUGUUUUGUUCACGUGGCCUGAUGUUGAAGAUCAGCUGGAUGGUCCAUUUGGGCUGAUGAAUUAUAAGGCCACAGAUAGCAAGAGAUCAUACAAUUUGAAAGGUGGAUUCACUUUAUUUCAAGGGGAUUCACUUUGAAGUAACAUGUCACAUUGAUCCCUGAGAAAAUCUUCCAAGACCACACCAUAUGCCCUUCUCUCCCCGUUGGUCCCAUGACUCUUAUCUCAUAGCCCUCCUACCUCAAUCAUUCAAGUAGCCAACAAAAAAUUUCAUCCAUAUAUAUAUUCAUCGCUGCAAGCAUUUUAGGACAACAAAAAUCAUUCACAACCUAAAAGCCUUUGAACUUCAAAAACUAGUGUCUUAUAUACAACCUUCUUUUCACAACUUCCUCUUCAGAAGUAUCACACAUAAGAAUGGGUUUUGGUUUAGCCGGUAUGAGAAAGACGGCUCUUUCAGCUAUCCAAGCAUCUUCAAAAGCCAUGGAUGUGCCAAAGGGCUACCUUCCAGUCUAUGUUGGAGAAAAAAUGAAGCGGUUCUUCAUCCCUGUAUCAUAUUUGAACCAACCUUCAUUUCAAGAUUUGUUGAGUCAAGCUGAAGAAGAAUUUGGGUAUAACCAUCCAAUGGGUGGUCUCACAAUUCCUUGCAGAGAAGAUGUAUUCUUAGAUACCACUUCUAGCUUGAAUAGGUGCUAGUUUCAUGUUGAUGAUACUGACAUAGAUGUAGACUAAACUUGAUCCAUUCAGUUUUGUUAUCUUAAUUGGAAAGAUUAAAAAAUUGUUCAUCCGAAUGAGAAGUUUCCUACAUUAACCUUUUUCUCACAUAUUUUGAGUUCAUUUAUCAAUCUGUAUAAGAAAUUAAUUAGCUAAAAAUAGGUUUAUUUGGAUCAACUAAUUAUUAAUGUAUCAAACUGAAAUAAAAUUACUAUCAAAAAAUUUAUAACCAAGUUUAAUAAAAUAUAGCUAAUUGUACAGAGAGGAAGAGGACAAAGAUAAGUUUAAACUAAAUGAUUGAUGUGAUAGAAAAAUAAAGAGAAAAGGUCAACUAUGAAAAAUAGAAUUCUUCCUGAACCCGAAUCGCUUUUGAUUUCAUUUGGCUCUGAUAUCUUCGUGAUUGUAGUCACUGAAACAUGGGUUGGCACAAGAUCGAAUUAGGAUUGAAUCACUGACACAUCGUUGUAUUACUUUUUAUUCUGGUUUGGGUUCAAUUAGGAUUGUUCAUGCUCGUUUUGAGCCGAGAGAUAGAGGCAAUUUCAUAAGGGUUAGAGUUUUUUGGUUGGGUGAUCUAUGUAGGUUUUGAUGUAAGACUUUGGUUUUUUAUAGGAUUGAAACAUCCUAAAAUGUUCUACAUAUAUUUAUUCUUUUUGUCGAUAAAAAAAUAAAAUCUGUUAUGAGCUGGAUUUUGUCAAAAGAAUGUAGUCCUCUUUCAUCUUAACAGCAAGCAACCUUUAAAUACUCUCUACAAUUCUAAUUGGAGAAGGAACAUAGUUAUGGAUAAACAGAAACAAUUAGAAAUUCAUUUUGUUGUCACUACUCAAACAUUUGGUAAUAAUUGUUACAGAUUAGAGAAGGCAAAAGGGUAGUGUACAUAUAGCUUUUAAGAUUCUCUAGAAAAUUGAGAAAACUGCUAAAGUCAGGAGAGUGUGUACAUAUGAAAUAUCAUGUGGUACUAUCUUCAGUAUAUAAGCAUAAAGUAUGGUACAAGUGUGUAACCCCACCUUAUCAAACAACAACCAACAUGCAAGCCUCAACAUGAAUCUAAGGUCUAUUUCUGCAUUAAUCCUUAUUCCAUAUUUUUGUGAACAUGCUUUAGGUAUGUCUUGUUCACGUGGAUGAUGUUGAAGCACAGCUGGAUGCUACUUUUUGGCUGAUGAAUUAUAUCUCAGCAAUAGCGAAAGAUCAUACAUCUACUUUAUUUCAAUUGGAUUCUGUUUGAAAGAUGAGAUUUGAACUAUCUUUUACAACAUGUCAUAUUGAUCACUGAGAAAGUCCUACAAGGCCACACCACAUGCCCUUGUCUCCCUGUUGGUCCCAUGACUCACACCCCUUUCCCCUCAAUCAUUGAACUAUCCAACGAUUCUUACAAACUUUUCAUCUGUAUAUAUAUUGAUGGCUUCAAGCAUUUAGGACAACAAACACAACCAGCAGCAUUUGAACAUCAAAAACUAGCAUCUUAUUUACAAUUAUCUUUUCACAGCUUUCUCUUCCAAAGUAUCAACACAUAAAAAUGGGUUUUCGGUUACCUGGUAUCAGAAAGGCAACCCUUGCUGCAAUACAAGGAUCUUCAAAAGUCUUGGAUGUGCCAAAGGGCUACCUUGCAGUCUAUGUUGGAGAGAAAAUGAAACGGUUUGUGAUCCCCGUAUCAUACUUGAACCAACCUUCAUUUCAAGAUCUGCUGAGUCAAGUUGAGGAAGAAUUCGGGUAUCA